CUGUCCAUUUUUUUUGGUAGCGAAAUCGUCGUGGGAGAGCCAAAUUAUUAUGAGAAAUUAAACUCUCCGUUUAUUGGUACGACGGGAAAUCAAAUUAUGAGACUCGAUCUGGCGGAUACGUACACGUGCGCCGUGCUGCCCGCACACGUCGCGCCGGCCGGCGGUGUCCUCGUCGUCGUCGUCCGUCCACCGGCUGGCCGGUGGGACCCGCACGUGCAGUCGUGUGCAUACGUACGUCGAGCGAUCGAUGUACGCCCUUGGAUUUAAUUUGCAAGUAGUCCAUGGCGCCGCGGCGGCCUCGUACGUCGAUCGCCGUCGUGGCCGUUAGAUGGAACUGCAACGCUCACGCUCUGCACGCCUCGAAUCGUACGUGCGGGACGUGCCUGAUACUACUUGGCUCUGCACACGUCGCGGGCCCGCCGCCGAUGACCUCAUGCAUCCACCUACCGUACCGGGUCCGGCCCGGCCGGCGGUCGUCCACCGCCCGUCGUCGACGGUAGGUACAGCUAGCACAGGUGUACACUCGCGGAGGCCGCCAAGUACGUACGCGCAGGGAACGUGCGUACGUAACGUGCCGACCGGGCCACGCCGCACCGCAAGUUUUUUUUUUUUUUCUUCCGUCCUUGCAUGGAUAUAUACGGCGGUACGGUCGCGGCUAGAUGUGUGUGUAGAUGCGUCGUUAUUAAUUUCUCGUUGAAUCUUAUCCUGGUGAGAUCAUACCACGGUUCUCUGUUUGGAACCGAUUAAGUUGGAUUAUCGUUGGGCCACCCACCGUGAAAAAUGACCCCAAAAAAAAAUCCUAUCUAUUACUCACAAACCGCCACAAUAGGGAAAGUUUGAUUUCUACGUCCGUAAUUUGCAAAAAAAAAAACAUUUAAAAAAUUAACUAAAACUAUAUUAAAAAAAAGAGUAGUAUUGUUAUACAUACUAUAAGUAAAUCUCAUAGGCUCGUCAUAAAAUGUAUUUUUGUGGUCUUAAACACUUGCUUGUAUAUAUAUACGGCGGUCCCGCCAAACUUGGUGUCGUAGUUGUUUACGCUUGAUCUACCACGAUAGCACCAAAAGAGACCGGUGCUGAUCGAGGAAGCAUACAUACCUUGUUCUCGUCCACAUCCCAUCUAGAUCUUCCCAACCACUACUAAUGUGUCUUUUGGUCCCUGGUCAAUACUCAAUACUAAAAAACAAGGUAGCCUAUGAUUAUGACCCUGUUUGGAUACUCUAACUAAGUUAGAGGUUAGAGUUAUUCUCUAACUCAUGACUAGCCCUCAACUAACUCUAACCAAAGAGUUGUUUGGAUACAAGGGUUAGAUUGACGAUGAAUGUACUCCUAGCUAGAUUUGGUGUGGCCGGCUGUUGUGUGGCCUCCUCCCGCUCAAGGACCAAUAAUUGAAGAUAAAUAAACAGAAACUAGGUGGCUGAUUAGAAAGUCAGUUUCUUUCUUAGCUCUCUCUUUAUAAAUAUAAAUCUCUACGUACAUCUAAAGAACUCCAAAGUAAUCAUCUACUCGGUAAUACCAAAUCUCGCCCCUGCUCAUGUAUCCACAUCCAAUAGGAAUGGUUCUCCACUCAGAGCUCACACAUCCAUAUCCUACUCGGAGUUCAGUGUCCACAUCCUACCCGGUUUCAAUACAAAGACCAGAUCCACAUAUCCGUAUCAGAGCUCACGCUUCUACGUCCGAGUAAUGAGGUCCGAUCAGUCCAAAAAAAAAUUAUGAUCCUAGUGCAACGCACGAGCAUACAUCUAUUGUAAAUAUAAAUAUUAUGACAUUUGUUAGUGGGGUAGUCAGGAAGAGAUAUAAAGCUGUGGAUAUUUCUUUUUACUAUCCUACGAUGAGCAUGUGCUUAGACAUGAUAUAUAUUUAGUAGAUACUCCCUUCGCUUGUAAUACAAUACAUUCUAGUAUUCAAAAAUUAUCCUCAAAUAUAAUGCAUUUUGAAGGACAAAACUCAAUUUUGCAUUCAUCAACCAAUCACUAUUAAUCUCGUUGAUGAUAGCGUCGGAUUAGUAAAUAAAAUAAGGAUAUAUUCGUCAUUUAUGUUCUCUCUUAACAUAUCUUAAAAUUCCUAGAAUGCAUAUAACAAAAAUGUAUUUUACCUAUAGAAACAAAAUAACAAAAUAAUAUAUAUAUAUAUAUAUAUAUAUAUAUAUAUAUAUAUAUAUAUAUAUAUAUAUAUAUAUAUAUAUAUAUUAUAGAAUGGGUAGAGUACAUAUAUCCUGAAAAUUAGGACAUAUGGCCCCGUUUGAAUCCUUUGGAAUAUCCGAAUAGGAAAAAAAAUACCUUAGAAUCACGCUAUCUUAUCCAAACGAUCAAGAUUUUAAAGUGGUCUUAACUCACAGAUUUUUACAACCUCAAAAUCCAAUUAAAGUUGUGAUUCUUUUAUCCAAAUUCUAAAUCUGAUACGAUCCAAACGGCAGCAAUAUGUAUAUAUGUGCUCUUUUUUUGAGAAAAAAAUAUGUGUAUCUUUUGUUUCCUCUCUCUCUCUUUUUUUUUAUGCGAGAAGCAGGGAAAGCUGUAGUAUGUAUUGUUGCCUCGAUCGCAUUUGCAUCCAUUCGAGACAGCAUGGAGUAUUGCUAUCGGUGAAUGCAUGGGAUGGAAUCUCAUAGAGAUAAAGAUGGGGGAAACAUGAAAACUAUGUGAAUAAAUUUAUUUUGAAAAACAUUUAUAUAAAAGUAUGCAUAUACUACUUUUUGAUAAAUAGAGUAUUUUUAUAAAAACAAAGAGUUAAAGUUAGAUUCUAAAAAUUAUAUCGUUGUUCUAAACAAUUUCCUUUAAGAAUACGGGGUGAGCAAAAUUCAACGAGAAAUUAAUAAGGAAUGCAUCUACUCGCGGCCGCCGUAUAUAUCAAUGCAAUGACGAAAAGAUCCUUGUGGCGCGGCCCGGUCGGUUACGUAGGUACGUUUCCUGGUACGCGUACGUGUAGAGUACGUAAUUGGCCGCCUUCCAGAGUGUACGCCUGUACUGUACGGUACUGUGGGACCAACCGUCGACGCUACCGGCCCCUGUACGGUGGAUGGGAUCAUCGAUCGGCCGCGACGUGUGCGGUGUGCGGGCCCGGCGGACCCGCUCAGAGCUAGUUGUCCUAUCUGGCACUGGCGUCUCGACCGUGGGGCCUACCCCGCGCACGCACGUGCAGAGCGUGAGCGUUGCAGUCCGGACACGACGGCGAGAUCGACAAGGCCGCCGCGGCGCCGUGGACUUUUCCGUACACCGAUGGACCUAUGGACACGACUGCACGUGCGGGUCCCACCGGCCGUUUAUCCAUCUAAUGACGGCAAACCUUGUGGCGCAGCCGACCGGCACGUGCGUGUACGUACAUCAGGUAGUACGUGCCCAGGUACUCCCCUACUUGGCGUCGAAUCGUUGCGGUUCAAACCAACGGCCACGACGACAUGCAAUGGCGUCGCACGGCUGCGGCUGCGGCCGGCACACAUGCCUUGACCGACACAAAAGUGCUUCCUCCCGUCGUAUAAAAAAAUGACAUAGAAAAAUAUAAUUCUUUACGUAUUAUAUUAAUUAUAGGAUACAUUAUCCCGUUUAUUAAAAAGAUGCAGUUCUUUUUAUUUUGGACGAAAGAGGGACUUAUAGAAAUCUUGGCACACUACAUCCUCAAAUUACACAUGAAAAAAAAAAUCUGAAAUAAAAACUUUAUCACAAUCUAUCCAAAUUCUUCCAUCGUUUUUUUUUUCAAUGGAUUCCCUCGAAUGUCGUAGCCAAAAUAUAGUUCUUAGCCGCAUUCAUCGACCAACCCUGAUACAUUAGACAUGCGCAAAAUCUAACGCUUCGGAACUAUAGUACAAAACACAUCUAAAUUGUUAAAAAAAUAUUGACAGUUGCAUCAUCUGGUACUAAAUAGGUUGCGGAAUCAAUAUAUGGAAACCUUGAAUUUCUCCUCAUGACCAUCGACAAUGAGAUUGAGGAUCCGGAGUCGCUAUCUCUGUAGGCGGCUCCAAGAAGCACUCCUCCCUUUGCAGAUAAGGGCCAUAAAUUGGCCGUCUACCAAUGAAAUCGACGCCUACAACGGUGAUCUCAUCGUGGCAAGCACCAAAGCCAUCGCAGGAACACAAUCCCGACCGGAAAUCAUCUAGUUUUGCCAAAAACUAUUUAGACUAAAAUCAUAAGACACUAGAAAACUAUGGAAAAAAGAUGAGUCCACUCCUCCUUAUCUCUGGUAGAGUUCACCGGAGUGAAAGAAGGAGGAGGCCCCCUUGGCGUGAUAGCGGCGGCGGCGGCGGCGGAGCAAGGAGCCAGCGGUCCUACAUAGACCCUAUAGGUAGCGGUAGCGUGAAAGAGGGCACCGUCGUUGUUAAAAAAAUACAAUUCUAAAAUAGUGUUACAUCAAACAAUUUGUCAAAAAAAGAUGCAAUUCUAGAACAGUGCUUUAAACAAUUUGACCAAAUCUAUUAUAAAAGAUAGUGAUAUUGUCAUACUGUAAGUAAAUCUUAUAGUGUACGUGGUCAUAAAAUGUAUCUUUUUGUCUUAAAACUUACUUGGAGUCAUAUAGGCUCAUAAUGAUUUCUAUAAGCUUAAUCAAACUGAAAUUAGUCCGACUUUGAUCAACUACGUUUUUUCUAUGGAUGGAGGUAGUAUUUUUGUAAUAUAAACCUAUUUGUAUACAAAACUAAAAUACAUAUACUAAUUAAUAUACAACUACUAGUUAUACUUUGUCACACCCAUAUUUUAAGAACAAAAUAGGAUGCAUAAAAGACUCAUAUGUGCCCCAGAAACAGUCGCACACAUAAGUAGACAAAUCUCAAAUGUACCAUCGCAGUGUUUAUUACAUAGCGGAAUAUAAAAUAUCACAUAGUCUCAUACAAAAAUGAUAGCAUAAAGUAAACAACGCUCUCGACGGAAGCUCCACACAGGGACACUGUUGACUGGUUGACUCCAAACCUAGUACUUAUAACGGUAAUCCUCAUUCCAGACAUCUUCAUUAUCAUUUCCUGAGGUGUUGGGAAAUUGCAAGAGUGAGCACAUAUCGUACUCAACAAGUAUAACCAGGGGUUCAUGAGGCUCAAAUAGCUGACACUGGUUUGACUGCAAUUAGCUUUUAAUAGUGGAUAGCAUGUUUAUAAUUAAUGAGCAAUUCUCAAGGUAGCAUAAAUAAUCCAUUAAUCCCAUAACCACAUGAUCAUUUGUAUACAGGAAUUAUGAAUAACACAUAUAAACAACAUAAUAAACCAUCAUUUAUUAUCAUUAUUCACGUUCAUCAGUGUCCAUCUAUUCCGUCAGUUUUCCGGGCCGCCCGUAUCCGUGGGCACGGCUAGUAUACCAUAUUUAACACUCUGCAGAGGUUGUACAUCUUUACCCAUGAGUCAUGAUUUACCCUUUCGCCCGAGGCCCGUCGACCUCUUAGCUCACUUCCAAGGAAAGCCGGCAGGGUUCACUAUGAAGUCUUUCAAAGGUUCGUCUAGCAAGUUAGGGCCGCAAGGUUUCCUUUGCGCGCAGAUAUAGAUACCCCCCUUCCGAAUGGCACAAUGACGCGCAGCCUAUACACAUAGGGACAGGGGCUCGCACUAUACCCAAAACGGUUCAGCCCCUCCGCCCUUUCGGGUAACCUCUAACAAGCUAGAAAAGCUUACUCAUACUUGACUAAAGCCAGAGCCAUAUAGCCCUUAUGGUUGUACGAGUUGUCCCAGCUUUUGCCAAGGGAUAAGUCCUUAUGGAGGGUCAAGAUCAAUCCAGCAAAAGCUAGAGUUCUUUCCACCCUUUAUAUUCAAGUUGCUAGAAAGCUUAUUUGAUUGUUUAUUGUAUAUCCAACAUUCAUGUUACAAGAUCAUGGAUUAUAAUCAAGCACUAGCAAGAACUACCCAAAUGCAUAUCCAAAUAGGUAACAAGGAAUUCAGGAUAACAAUCAUCUAUGAUUUUGCUAAGGUCAUCAAGGUGGACACAUGCACAUGAUAAAUGUUAUAUUAAUUGUGUAUAGGUAACAAGGAUAGUCCCAAGUUAUACUUGCCUUGCUCAAAGCUCUCCUGAGCUUGCUGGUCCUCAAAAGCUCGGUCUUGGUCACCAACGUACGGCUCACCGUCUAAUCCCAAUCAUCAAUCAACAACACGCAUUCUAAUGUAGACAAUCAUACACGAAGCAAACAAGAUAUAAUUAGAGCAAUACACCAAAUAGUAGUAAAACAAAUGUAAAAGUUUAUCAAAAUAUUCUACGCAGCGCUACGAUCACACAAACGUAAAGUUCACGAAAAUCGGAUUUAAAACGUAGAAGUUAUGAAUUUUCUAAGAUUUCUAUAGAGAAAUAAUUAAUUAAAUAGAACCAGGAAAUUAAAAAGUUUCAAAACAGUAAACUAAUAUUUCUAACAUGUAGAUAUCGUAAAUACGAAUCCAACGGAAUUUGAAUGGACAAAAACGGAGUUAAAAUGAGCAUUUUAUAAGCAAAACAAAUCUAGUGGCAAUUCUGUAAUUUCUGGAAAGCGCCUUUGAAACUCAGCCGACAGAAAUACGCUUUUGAAACUGGAAAGCGUAAACUCCUCUAGGGCGCCAGGACCGCGGGUUUAAAUAAGAGGAAGCCGAGGGUCUCUUUAAGAGUUUUCACCCCGAAGUGGUAUCUUUUAAUCACGAUCGUCGAUUCGCAAACGGACGGCUGGUAUUCGAUCUGGGCGGGGCUGGCCGGCCUCCUCGCCGGAACAGGAGCGGCCGCGGCGGAUUUCCAUUGCCGGCGUCAAGCUCCUCGCCGGAGUUCACCAAAGCGACGCUGCGGUUCACCAAAAACAACACCGAAGGCACUGGAGUGAAGAGAAAGGAAUGGCGAGCUCACCACGGAGGUCGGCUCGGCCCGGGAAGGAGCAGUUGCGCGCGGCGGCGGUAGGAGUUCACGGCGAGAUCCAAACUCCGAAGAACGCGACGGCUAGGGCUCGGAUAGAACUCCGUGGGUGCGAAAGGGGUCCCUCGGGGUGCUUAGGAACUUUAUAGAGGUUUGAUUCCUCGAAAAAGGCAAGGGAUCGCGGGAUUACGGUUUUGGCUCGGGAAGGAAGCUUCCCCUGCUCGCGACACGGCUGGGAAGAAGAAGGAAGGUGGGAUAGGGGAGACUGACGCGCGGGGCCCGGUUGGCGGUGAGAGAGGAGAGAGAGCGCACCUGCCUGGGCCGUUUGGGCCGCUGCGGUGCGGUGGGGGGAAAAGGGAAGCGGGCCGGGGAAGGAGUGGGCCGCACGCGGGGUGAGGAGAAGGAUGCGCAUGUUGGGCCGCGGGGGAAAAGUUUGUUUUCUCUUUUUUUUCUGUUUUUAUUUUCCAAAACAUUUUCCAAAUAAGAUUUUGAAUGAAAAUAAAUCCAAGCCAGAGGCAACAUUACAAAAUAAAAUAUGUCUCAGCAUGAAUGCACAAAAUCAUGUUACUAAGCUUAUGAUAAAUUUUAUUUUCCACAAAAUUAUUUAAGUGCUAACUUUAAAUGCUCACAAAAUUCUUAAAUAAUUCAAAUUAAAUCCUAUUAAUUGAAAUUCAAAUUUUGGGUGUUACAUACUUUUUUUAAUGGUGAGUGGCAUGGAGUAUGAGAUAUCACAUGACGGUACACAUACGUCUACACAUGUGUGUGGUACAAACUUUGGUGUCGUAGUUUACGCUUGAUCCACCAUGAUAGUACCGUACCAAAAGCCUGCUGCUGAUCGAGGAGAAGCACCUUGUUCUCGUCCGCAUCCAAUCUUGAUCUUCCCUACUACUACUAACAAGCUCGAAGCUAAUUUAUCAUUAUAUUGCUAUGUGCUAGCUAGUAAUAAACUAAUAAUGUAAUCCAAGCACAUAUAUACCUAUGUGGCUACUAUGUCCUACGUGUUAGGAAACAAGAUAGGUAACAAACCUAUAUAUCAACAUGAAAGAGAGAAAAAAGAAUAAAAUUUUUUCUAGGGUUUUUAAUGCAAAAUCUCCUAUUACUUUUCCGUCCAACGUUCAUAGAAGAGCAAAAACAAAAUAAAAAAACAUUCUAAGAUUCCUAAUGCACCUCUGUCGUUGGUCGGUCCAAUCAGCCCAUCCGGAAUCGGUAGAAUGGAAGAGAGAAAAAAGAAUAAAAUUUUUUCUAGAAUUCCCAAUGUAAAAUCUCCAAUUUACUUUUCUUUUAUUUUUUUUUAAAAAUCGGCUAAAAAUUGAUAAAUGUAUAGUAAUUCAUAGAAAAAUUUAAAAAUUAUAAAACAAAUUUUGUUCAGCUCCACAUAUGUAGAUCCAUACAGUAAAUAAAAAAUAUCACAAAUUUUAGUACACUUUUUUUUGUUGGAAAUGCUUGCCUAUAUAUGCUUUUUAGUGUAAAAUUAAAAUUGUAGUUAUCUUACUCCAAUUAUUAUAAAAAAUUUAUGGUAGCCUAUUUAAUGUGAUGCUUGAUUCAUAUUUCAUAGCAAUCCUAAUCUAAAUAAAAAAAUAAUGCUAGCAUCAAAUUUCUCAUGUUUUAAUAUAAUACUGAGGUAUAUUAAGAGGUAAUAUUAGAGUGAGAUAAGGUUUAACUAUUUUCUAUUUUUAUUAUUAAAUAAAUAUGUCUUCAAGCUACAUAUAUUGUAAAUAUUAACUAUCUAAUACCAUAGAUGUUAUGGUUAUCAAUAAAAUAAAUUAUGGACUUUAAAUUUUAUAAAAAAGAUAAAUAUAAAUAGAUAUGUAACAUUAUGUCAUCACUUUCUAGGGUCAUUUGAUGUUUUUCUUCCGUUGCAACGCACGGGCAUAUUUGCUAGUAAGAAUAAUAAGUCUAGUAUACUCUGUAUUAGAUUAGUCAUAGGAACUCUCUUUUAAAAAAAUACUCACUCCAUAUUAGUAAUUGAAGUGUUAAAAUUAAAUUGUCCAACCUAAUAGUAUAGAGGGAGUAUAAUUGUACAACACUGCUAGGUCAAACGCUUUAGAAUUUAACAAUAUCUACAUAAAGGAUAUUAAUUUUAUAUAUCAUACCAAAUAAAAUAUCUACAUACCGAAUAAAAAAACUUAAGAUUAUUUGAUUUUGACUUUGAUCCAAACUAGAAUUGAGUUUUUUUUUUGUGUGAAUGUAGUAUUUUUUUGUAAUAUAAUAAACCUAUCUAGAUAAGCUAAUAUUGAUAGAUUUUAUAAACACCUAGCCAAACUUAAAAUGUUUCAAACUAUUAGCCACGAUGUGUUGCGCCCGUGAGUACCAGCCACCAGCACCACGAGCACCUUAUGUCUUUCCGCCACGCAUCCCAUGGGAGGAAAGAAAGGUUAUAAGAAUAGUUUUUAUUAGUGGUUUAAUUUUUACUGACAUGGUACAUAUAGAAAUUACAGAUAUAGUUUCACGAUAGUGCCUUAGCCAAACUUAAUUUUUUUUACUUGAUUGAAAUAUAGAUUAUACUCUUUUCUAACCAAUAGGGGGUGAUGCCAAUAUGCUUAUUCCUUUCUUAUGGCGACUAGCUUUGAAUAGAGAUAGUCCCUCCGGUCUAGUUUAUAAGACACACACAUCAAGCGAUUCAAACUUUAUGUUCUUCGAUUAUUAAUUUGGUCAAUAAUGGUCAAAGUACUGUGAUAAGUGGGCGACGGUAUCACGUCAAACUGUGCUUUAUAAACUAGACAAGAUGAAUCAAUACACAUGAUACGUAUACGAUAGCACAAAAAGACCGUUGGAGAGGAAGCAUAUCUUGUUGCACACCCAUCUUGAUCUCCCCUACUAAUGUCUUCUGGUCGCUAGUAAAUAUACUAACAAGAGCCUAUGAUUUAUAUUGCUUAUAUAUAUGCUAGCUAGUAAUGUAAAUAUGUAUGUAGUCCAAUCACAUACAUGCCUAUGUCCUACAAGGACCAAUAAUUGACGAUAAACAAACUGAAAUUAGCUGGCUGAUUAGACGAGCAAGAUCUCAUUCUUUGUUUCUUAGUUUCUUCUAUUUAAUCCGCGCGCAUGACGUCUGCUAGUGUCUAGUGGGGUGGUAGACAGUCGGAAAGAAAAGGUACAUAAAACCUGUGGAUCUUGGAAGCAAUGGAAGAAGAAACUCUACUACAUGAUUGACACGAGGAAGAAAGGACAACAAGGACACACCAAGGAUCAGAAAAAUACAUAUGCGAGACAAGCAAAUGUUUUGGCACCAUUGGUUUUUCUUUAUUUUUGGUCUUGCGUGCGCGGGACCAACCACCCAAACAUCCAUGACUUGUGUGAACCACCACCUGUGUCUGUGUGUGUGCGCCUAAACAUUUUCAUAGCUUUGGACCUUUUGGUCGUAGAGAGGCAAUAAUAUAUAUAUUAAUUUGACACUACUUAUAUCUGAAAGUUCAAUUAUGUUCACUUUUGAUAGUAUAAUUCGCAGUAGAAUGUUCUGCACACAUGUCACACUAUGGAUGGAUGGGUGAACAUGAACCCCGGCUAUGCAUGUUUCUGUGACCACACCGUUGCAGUGGCACGGUCAAAUUUAGACUGAAAAGAAUCUGCUAGCUGCUACUGCUAGCUAGCUCGGUCUUUAAUUUAGAAAGGAAGAAAACGGAAGAAGAAUCUGCUGCAUGCACACAUCAUCACUGUGCUAGUUGAAAGGUUUGGUGCGGGCACUCCACACGUGAACGAACUUCAUUUCUCCUCUCCUCACUAUCACACACAGCAGACAAUUUUUAGAGAUGGUCAAAAUCGAUUUCAAAGACGGUUUUUGAAACUGUUAUUACAUCAUCGAUCUAUUAAUUUCUAGAGCGGGUGAAUUACUGUCCAUAAAAAUUGAUUUUCAAGGUUGGUUGAAAUUAUUGCUUUUAUGAGUGGUUGGCAUAACCGCAUAAUUAAGGAACUAUCUCUAAAAAAUAUAUGAUUUUUUGGAUGGCUGUUUUAUGUCAACCACGACUGAAAAAGAUAAAUUAUCAAGGACGGUUUUAUUAUGUCAAACACCAUUGAAAUUGAUUUUUAGAGAUGCUCUGUAAGCUACGGUGCUGCGCAUAGUAUCAUUUAUAAAAGGCGGUUGGUUAAGUCAACCACUUCUUAGAAAAGCAGGCUGAUGUGUUUAUAAAAAUCAUCUACCGAGUAGUGAUAAUAUAAAUAUAGUGAGAGCCACAAUCCUUGUGCUUAUUCAAUUCCAGAGAACCACAUAGGUAGUUAUACUUCCUCAUUAGAAAAUCAGCAGAGCAAAGAUCAAACACUAUCUCUGCAGAGGAAAAUGUUUUCGCAAAAGUCAUCACAGCAAAUCUACGCGCAUUAUACAAUUUUGUAUCAGCCUCGUUGACAAACAAAUAAAUUCCAUGUGACUGAAGAAACUCCUAGGAGUGCACUAGCUACAGUAGUGGAGUCCCAUGAAGGAGGAAACAAAACGAUUCCUAGACUCCAUCCACUGCCGGGCAAAGUGUAGGGGUGUGGGGUUCACAAAUCACACACAAGUGCUUUGCUUUGCUUCCAAUAAUUCGGCCAAAGCAACGUGAGGUAGCUAUGCUGCAGCGAAGAAAGGGUUUUUGGUUGGUGGGUGGCGGUCAAACAUCCAAGCCCUAGCUAGCUCAUCAGUGUUGCUCCUCCAUUAUUUUUAGUAAAGUCCGAGGGGAGGGCGGGGCCCCUGAAAAAUAAUUGACAACAGAGAAGGGUAUUCCUAUUCCAUUCCUGAUGGGGACUUUGGAGCUGUCGUAUAUAGUGCAAUGGAAAGCUGAGCACUCAGUCACCAAGAGUGAGCUAGCGUGUGUGCGUAAUUUUUGCCAGUGUCCACCUCAUUCGGUUGCGAAAUUUUGUCAGGUACAUAGAGUACACGGUACUAUGGUUUUUGUCACACAUAGCAAGAAGAUGCGAAGAGUCUGUGGGGGAGUUAGCGGCUGAAAGAGCUGGGAGUAUUUAGUAUUGUCGGUUAAGAAACAGUUGUCUUUUCUAUUGUCGGUUGCGCGUGGUUAGGCUGACUAGUGGGGUUGGGUGUCGCAUGAGAAGUACAAAGGGCACCAUGUGUAACAUUUUUUUAAGAAAAUGAAUUGGUUCCUGUAAAAUUUCUGUAGUAUUCCUGUGAAAUUCCUGCAUUCCAAAGGCGCCCUGAAUCGUUAUCGAACUGAAUGAGAACAGAAUCACUAUCUCCUUUGCGUUGCUUCUUUCUGAACUUCCAUUCUCUGUUCUUGCUGUUGUCUAUCUAAACUCUGAUUCUAUCUACUCCACAAAUCCGUCAGGUUCUUGACCCGACGACUGACAGUUUUAGUCACGGGUAACCACUAACCAGUGCUGGACACAGACUAAGAUUCAAAGUGCUGAGAGUCUUGUGUAGAGAAAAAAAAAAUGUUUUGAUAUGUGACGAUUGUCCAUCAUGGAUUCAUGGUCUCAAGGACGGAACUAUAUGUAGAGUGACCAUGCAAGCCAAAAUUUGGUGAUUAUAUAAUUUAUCACAUAUACAUCCUAUAUGGUAAAAGUCUAUACAUUCACAAGGCAAACGUACUCAUGCCAAAAUUUAGAGGAAAAAAACAGUAGUUGUUCAUCAGUGGUGGAGCUACUAUCGUUCAUGGUCUGCCCUCCAAACAAAGAACUGGAAAGGUUCUAUCAAAAAACAAAGAACUGGGACGGGGAGAGGGUAAAAAAAUCCUGGGUGGGAUCGGAUACAUACCCUCCCCCCCAAAAAAAAAAGGCAGGGCUGCUGCAUCCAGAAAAGCAGAGACUGAGAAGUCACAGUGAGACCGACCGAUCGGUGACAAAAAGUUGACGAAUCCAAUCCAAUCCAAUAAUUCCGAAAGGCAUGCAUGCAGGACGAAUGAAUGAAGCACUGGGUCGUCGCGACCACGACGAGCAUGAUGAGAUGCAGGCAGGACUACUAAGCAAGCAUGGAAUGGAACGGGGCAGUGGCCACUGGCCACCACGCGCUCGCCGAUCGCCGUGCCGUCGCUGCCGUCGGCGUCCUCCUUUGCCCUGUCCUGCACGGAGAUCGUACGUGAGCAAGCCUCCCAGCCAUCCGUCUUGCAGUAUAGCUAGCGACACUAAUAAGCUAGCUGAAAGCAAAGCAAAAUCGAUCUGCAAUCAUAAAGAUAUUGGGAUACAUGGCUGUCGGACGACAACGACGAGCCUCCAAUCAUGAACGGACUCCGGCCCGAUAUGAUGUGGUGGAUGGUGAGAAUAAUAAUGGAGAGAAAAAGGCUCAGGAUUUGACGACGUUCCUCUUUUCGAUCCUCCGGUGGAUAGGAUAUAAUUAUAGGAGUCGGCCGGACAGCUAGGGUAAGAUCAGAUGUCUGUCGAUCUGGUGUGGUGGGCAAAUGCAUGAUUAAAGGCGGAUUGAGUCAUUAUUGGUUGUGGAGCAGAUAGUAGGCUCACUGCUGUGGGUGUGGGUGAUAUCGUAGGUUUCAGAAUUCAGUCAGUGGAAGGAGCAGUCCCUGUUUGUUCCCUGUGUCAUCACUAGCUGUCAAGUUCAGUCGUCACUCAUCAGUGUGAUGGGAUUACUACAUUACAGUGUGCGAUACCGAGUCAUUCAUUCGUUCGUUCGUUCAUUAUGCAGGUGCUGGAAAAGGCAUGGUACUGUACAUCACUAGAUUGUUGUUGGUCUCUUCUUUGUUUUGGUGUAAUUCUGGGGGCUUUCUUUCUUGGUUGGUUGGGAUAAGGAAGUGAAGGCAUUUGUCAAAAAAAAAAAGGAAGUGAAGGCAUGCAUGCAUAUGAGGAUGCCUGCAGAAACGAAACAAUUCUGAACCCAUGUUAAUAAUAAUGUUGGUAUAUGUAUACCAUAUCCGCCAGUGAACAGAUACCAUGCUCUUGCAUCAAGUGUUUCCUGUUGGUUGCAAGUUCAAGCUUGGCAGCUUAGAUCUACAUUUGGUCGUCGGCGUGGGACUGACUGAAGCAAGAACAGCAGCAGCAGAACAAUGCAAAGAGGAGGCAGUGUCAUGUAUGUGUUGGGCCGGACCCAUGAUGACAACGGCCCACACAUGUCGUCCCGAGAAGAUUGCGGCCCGCUCGGUCGUUUUGGGCUUGGAGUUUGGUCCGUUGGGUCGCCACUGGAUCGGAUCAGUUUCUUGUUGUGGGCUGGGCUGUGUUCUUCUUCUCCCAGACCCUCCAUGCAGAUGGUUCAGUUUCAGUUGCUUCUUUUUUAAUAAUAAAAAAAAAAGAUGGUUCUGUUUCAGUUUUUCAAAAAGAGAUGCCUGCUAUCCAAACAAGUUGAUGACAGUAUGCAAUUGCAAAACCACCUGAUGAUGAUCAUCUAAUUAGCGCUGGACCGCGCAUUGCUGCCUGCACUGCACUGCACGCGUGGGCGACUGUUGGACGCCACGCCAUGAAAGGCCGGGCGGCAGCGGCAGCCGGUUCGAUCGAAUCGCCAUGCAUGGCAUGGAUAUGGAAGCUGCCACACCCCUCCACUACUACUCCACACUCUUGCUUGCUUGCUUCUCUGAAUCUGGCAUCUGCAUCUGCAUGAGCCCUCACGUCAAGAGAAAAAGAAACCUACUACUGCUCCAGUAGCUAGCAGCAGUACUGUACUGUAACUGUAGAGGUGGAGCGAGAAGCCUGACUGCUAUGCCCUCGCCCUGCCAUGCCCUCGCCCUGCCCGUGUGGUCUGCUCACUGGUCACCGUCUCACCACCACGACGACGACGCACGGCUGCACGCAUCGAUCGAUACGUACGGUAACAGACUACCACUCGGUCAUGCAUGCAUAUGUCUCAGGUACAGGAUACAUACACGGAACGGAUGCGUGUCUGUGUGGGCGUCUGACGUGAUAUGGAGGCAUGGCUCCCUGCUGUGUGUACUUUGACAGUGUUCACUCCACUCCACCUCGUCGUCACGUCACUGACUAGUUCUAUGAACGUGGACGUGCAGGUGUACCACUACAUGUACUAGAAUAUGCUCUCCCGGCCCAAUAGGGAAGACAAACAUUUUUUAAGUUUAAUUACACAUCUGUAGAAAAAAAAAAUACUAUCCACAUUUGUAUUUCUAGUUAAGAAUUUAUUAUAAGAGUAUAUCCACAAUUAAUAUUCACUCCAUCCCAUCAUAAAUACCCAGGCCUUGUUUACUUCCACCCAAAAACCCAAAAAAAAUUCAAGAUUCCCUAUCACAUCGAAUCUUUAGACGUAUGCAUUGAGUAUUAGAUAUAAACGAAAAUAAAGACUAAUUGCACAAUUUGAUCGAGACGAAUCUUUUGAGCCUAGUUAGUCCAUGGUUAGACAAUAAUUACCAUAAACAAACGAAAGUGAUACAGUGUCGCGAAAUUUUUUUCUCGGAGAACUAAACGCGGCCAUCCCAAAAUGAAUGUGUUUUUCUAGCCUUAGGAUAAGUCAAAGUUAUUUAGUUAAGUUUGAAUAAGUUCAUAUAUGUCUCUAGGUAGAUUUACUUUAAAAAUAUAUUUUAUAACUAAUUAAUUUAAUGAUAUUUAUUUUAGUGUUUUCUUGCAAUGGUUUAGUUAAACUUGAAUUUGUUUGACUUCUCGAGAAAUGAUAAUUAUAUUCUUUUUUGGACAACGGAGUGUAUUAGUAUUUUUUUUAUAUGAUUGAUCAAACUUAAAAGUGUUUAUAUAUAUAUGAAUGAAGGGACCUAAAUUUAUGAUGUGUACCUGGUCCAUCAUCAUUAUGAUUAGUAGCAUUUGGCUUGGCAGCGACUAUAUACUUGCAUUGCUUGUGAUUUGUGAAAGAGGAAAACUGAAUGAUUGUGAUAUCUCAUGCUUCCUGCGUUCUUAUGGCAGCUAGAGUUCUUCUGGGUGAGGAACUACAAGAGCACACUGCUCACUGCUGAUUGUAAGUCACUACGAAUUUCCUGGAUUAUUCUAAUGAAUUGCCAUAUUAUAAUUGCACCACCAUACAUUCCUGGACCCAAAGCAUUAUAUUUAUCCUAAUAAUGUCCUUUAUUAUCAUAUAUUUCCUCCAUCCCAAAAACUUGACACUAUAGAAUUUUUAAGACACCAACAUACAUAUCGAGGUAAAAAUGAACCAUGUGCCAAUACUUAUUAGGGACGGUUCCUAUUAAAAGGUCGGUUGUCAUUUGGUUAACAGCUUAGUUAAUUGCCAUAAAUAAUAAGAUCCUGGCAACAAAAAAUCAGCAUGCAGCUCUGGCAAAUGUGGAGAAUCAAUUCUAUUUAUCUCACAAGGAGCAGAUCUAGGGGUGGGGCGAGAGAUUCAAGCCCCACCGCCUCCGCAAGCCCCUCCUAAUUUUUCUAAACAUGAAAGAGAUAAGGAAGUUAUUGAUCUAAAAAAGAGUUUAAAGAUGAUUUGAACACCCUUUUUUUUAGAUUUCUAGAUCCUCACUGCCUUUCCAAAUGCUAAAGCUACGCGUUUUCUGGGAAAGUCGACGACAUCAGCAACGAGUUUGGCAAGAAUGCAAAAUGAGAUGAAAUCCUAUUGCCAAGACAAUGUGUGCAACACAUAGCAAGAGAAUCUUUAGGGAUUUGGAGGCAUUGGAAUUGAAACACCAUUCUUCUAGCUCCAGCACGCGCUAACAUAUUGCCAAGUCGUCUCCAAAGGUGUAAAGCAUCUCGAUACAAAAAAUAAUAAGCAUGGUACAGCACGCACGCGUAUGGGGAAGCUAGAAUUUUCAGGCAAGGGUAGCUAGCUAUGAAACAGCAAGCAGGUCAGAGCUAAUAGCUGGUUAUUCAAUAUAGCAAAACAAGGUUACACCAAAAUCAAUGCAUCGAUCGGUGUCAAGGUCUGAACAAUAUAAUAACUUAUACAUGUAUGUAUCCUACUCUCUUCUAGGUUCUGACAUGAUAGUGUAGACUGUAGUAUAUAGUAUAUACCAAUACUACAAGAUUAUAAAAAGGAAUCAAGCUUCACUUAUACUAUACUGCAUUCAUGUUCCCAAGAAGUGGACAAGAUCUGCAAGCAUCUCUAGCUAUUACAUACUGGAGGAGUAACGUGUCAACAGUUUGAUAUUAGUGUUUUAUAUUGUUUCAUAAUAAAUAUACAAAUCAUGCAUGACAAGCUCUCCUGUAGAUUAAGCUUUACAUGUUCACAGAGCAAAGAGCACAGUAUCAUUAGCAGCUAGCAUGCAGUAGGUUGUAACAGUGCCAAUGCAUGCCAACCAUAGUAUCAACAAACUGUGAUCAUUUUCUCAAGAAAGCAGAGCAAAGAAAGCAUAUAUAAGCAAUUUCCUCUACACAUCCCUCUUCAGAUCGACCUAUUAAUUUCGUUAGUUCUCCCAAAUUAAAUGCAGCAAGAAACAGUUUUUGCUAAUGAAAGGAAGAAGAAUAAAAAUGUGCCUGCCACCAUUCCCAUAAACUGAAACCUAUAUAGGAGUAGGACCAAUUAUUGCAACAUCUGGAGAGCAAAGAACAAUACAAAACCUACUUGAACAGUGCACAGUGUAUUGGAUUCCUUCUGCUGCUAGAUCUACAUUGGAAACAAUUAUACAUGGCAUUCAUUUCUUUCAUGCAUACGGUGGGUUUAAUUUGAUGGCUAUUUGAGACUGAAAAUUUCAUUGGUCUACACUCUACAGAGAGCACAUAAUUAAUAGAGAAUCUGGUUGCUAAAUUUGGAAUAAUAAAAUAUAAUGAAAUCUGUUGUGAUGCAUGCUCUAAUUCAUGUAAGCUUAAAUCCAUAUAGAGUAGAUAUCAAACAAGAGAAAACAUAGUGAUGUGUAUACAGAGAAGAAGGCAGGUUUAAUUAAAGAAUGCACAGAAUGCAAGUAAACAAAAGCUUCAAGAGAGGGAAACAAAAAGAAAAAAAAAUUGAACAGCAGUUGGGUAUAUCAAGUAGUAUUUUCAGAACAUUGUAUUGCAGGAAGCAAAAAGAUUGAGGCAGAGGUAAGAAGAACUGAAGCAAAUUAAGGAUUGAAAUUUUAUAGACCUGGAUAAAAAGAUACGUGUACACCUCCAAACUAAGCACGGAUUAUUCAGAAGGAUUUGCAUGGAUGGGAUGAGAGGGGAGCAGAUCGAGAUGCAUGGCCAAAUUUUAAUGAUGGCAACUUUCUACACAUGCACCCUCUUGUUUCAUCAGUCAGCUCAUCACAGGGUAAUUAUUGCGAGGGAAAGAGAGAAGAAGAAUCAGAAAGAUCCCCACUACGACCAUACAUGAGCCAUGGGUAUGUGUGCAGCUGCAGAUGCCCACUGGUCAGUAGGAGUGGCCGUCAUGCGCAGUCAUGCCCACCCAUCAUUACACCAAUCUGCAUCUCAUGCAGGAUGCAGGUAGCUAGAGGUAAUAUCCUCUCUUCAGUCUUGAGUUCUUCACCAUGGCAGCCACAAGAUCUAUCUAUGUAAAGUAUCUAUCUCCCCAUAUCAUAUACGCCCAAGAAACUGAACAACUGCAGACGGAGGAAAGAAGAAAAAAACAAAACAAAACAAAAGUAAACGGGGUAUGUAUAGAUUCAGUAAAUCAGGUAGCUUAGCUUACCCGGUUCAGAUUUGCAUGUACGUGCCCCCAGCAAGAUAGGUAGCUAGCGGAUGGAGGGAAGCUCAUGCUCAUCUGAUGGAGGUGCGCGCGCAGAUCAAGAUCAUGGGGGAGCCCUUCCUUUUGGGGGGAAUGAAGCCUGGUCCGAGAUCUACACCACCCGCCUCCGUCCUCCUGCUGGUCUCCAAGAGAAGGAGGAAGAGACGAUGGAGAUUGAGGAAGCGCGCGAAGACUAGGGGAGAGAGAGAGACCAGAGAAGGAAGGAGCGGAGCGGAGCGGCGGCGCCCCCGAGCCAGACAACAUUCCCCUCAAAGACGAAAAGGCUCCCCUGAUCUAGCUAUGCUCUCUCUAGCUAGCUUUUCCGCCUUGACCUCUCGCUGGCUUAGCUAGAUCUCUCAAACUCUCUGAUCCUACCACCUCCUGUCCCUCGCUCUCUUCUUGUAUAUCUUCGUGCCUCAGCCUCACCCUCAUGGCUAGCUAGCUCCCGUGCUACCUCUCAGCUUUUUUGGGGUAUGAGAUGAGGUGCAGGGAGGAGGGGAGGGGAAGGUAGAGAAAGGGUCGGUAUGUAUAUAUGGAGGAGGAGGAGGAGGAGGAGGAGGUAGCUGCAGCAAGCAAGAAAGCAAGGUAGGAAUGGGAUGGGGGCCGGCGAGAGUUGAAUGGGCACAGGAGGAGGAGGAGGAGGACGAUUGGACGAAGGGGAAUUGAAGGGUGUCCCCCAGCCGGCCGGCCCCCCACGAGGCACGGCUGGUUCCAAGGGGGAGCUGUCCCGGUCCCGGCUGUACAUGUGUGUGCUAGCUGGUGCAAUGGGGGCGGAGAGGAAGAGAUGAGGAAGACGAAGAGGAGGAGGAGGUGUUACCUCUUGAUCGGUCUCAAUGUAUAGUUUUAUGGUACAGUUAUCAAAACUAUAAACUAUAGGUAACCGAGCCACAUGAGUUUUAUUGGGAUGAAAUUUCUCUCUCAUAUGAUGAAACUCUUUUAUUUAAUGACCCUGUCAAGUCAGUAAUUUUACUUAUGUGGCAUCAUAUUUAAUGUGUAUAACACUUUCAUGAAACAUGCAUUAAGACUAGCAUUGAGAGGGAUGAAUCCGAGUUAUGGUGGACCUCUGCUAGCACUGCCCACAAGAAUUGCUACCUUCACCUACCCACCCUUUUCCUUCCCUGCUUUUUCUUCUUCAGCUGCAGUGUGUGUGACAACCUAGAUGUGCCAAACUUUCUGUACCUGCUUAGCACUGCACCACCACUAUGCCCGUUUUGAUUGCUUUAUAUACUUGCUUGCGGUAUAGGAUAGGAAAGGUUCUACUUUGACCACCAAGGAUGUUUAUCCAUUGCUAAAAAAUAAUGUUUUUCACUAGAGGAAUAUUGAAAUAUAUAUGCAUUUAUUAUAAAACUUUUUUUAUAUAUUAUGUACUAUAUAAACAAACAUAUGAUCUGACUAAUUAUUGAUACAUUGGUCAGAAUACAUGAAGCAUGACCUUUUGAAAUCCUAGGCCUUGUUUAGUUCCCAAAAAUUUUGCAAAAUUUUUCAGAUUUUCCGUCACAUCGAAUCUUUAGACGUAUGUAUGAAAUAUUAAAUAUAGAUAAAAAUAAAAACUAAUUGCACAGUUUAGUCGGAAUUGACGAGACGAAUCUUUUGAGCCUAGUUAGUCCAUGAUUGAACAAUAUUUGUCAAAUACAAACAAAAUUGCUACAGUGCUCAUUUUGCUAAAAAUUUUGGAACUAAACAAGGCCCUAAUACACUUACUAAAAAUAAUCAUGUGUACAUUGUGUCUCAUUAUUAGUUGUUUACGACCUCCAUGUGUGUGUACGUGUACACACAAAGCAAGUAUUCAUGUAAAAAAUCUUCAACUUAAGUAUUAUAUUACAUUAGAUUGAAAAAUGAUAUGAUGUAUACUAUGUAGAUUUACCAUGAUGUCUUUUAGAGGAUUUAUAUGUACCUAUUUUGAUUUAUGGUGUUUUUUUAGACAUGCCCAAGUUAAUCUGUCUAAACCGAGAGUUGUCCCUUCAAUUAAGCCGAGUAACGUUAGUUAUCCCCGGAGCUGCACCUUGCACUCUAUUGACCCAAAAUACACAUGACCAGACUGUAUUAAAUACUCCAUUUAUUCAAAAAAAUAUACAAUUCUCACUUUCCAAGAAGUCAAGACCAAUUUUGAGUUACCAGAUCUAUAAAAAACUACUGCUCCUUCUAUCUCAAAUCAAAUCAACUUCUAUAGUUGUCCUAAUAAGUUCAUCUAUUUUUAAGUUUAACCAACAUUAUAGAAAAAAACACCAAAAUUUAUGACAUCAAAUUAGUAUCACUUGGAUACACCACGAGAUAUAAAGUUGAUCAAACUUAAGAUAGUUUGACUUAUAGCAUGAUUGUAGGAAUUGAUUUAUUUUGAGAUGGAGGUACUAACAAUUAUGAAACCAAUAAGAAUCGUUAGAUUAAUUAUAGAACCAUAUGGCAUUUUCUAAAACUUAUUCAUUCCGAACCAUAUGGCAUGCCCUAAAGCCAAGUCACUGUUGUCACAAAAAAAAGCCAAGUCACUGUCUACUCAAUCAAAUUAAAUUGAAUAAACAUAAUCUAGUGCUCGUGUGUGUAUAUAAAGGGGUUUUAGGUACGCCUAUACUUUGUUGUUAGGCCUUGUUUACUUCCAUCCGAAAACCCUAAAUUUUUCAAGAUUUCCUGUCACAUCGAAUUUUUAGACGCAUACAUAGAGUAUGAAAUAUAAAUAAAAAUAAAAACUAAUUAAACAGUUUGGUCGAAAUUUAAGAAACGAAUCUUUUAAGUUUAUUUAGUCUAUAAUUGAACAAUAAUUACCACAAACAAACAAAAGUGCUACAGUGUCGCGAAAUUUUUUCCUUCAUGAACUAAACAAGGCCUUAGAGUUUAUUUCAAAGGACAAAGGAAUUGAUCAGUCCAACUAUUGAGUUAAUCCUUUUCUUUUUCUAAAACCCCUGUUCGAAUUGAAACUAAAACUUUAGAACCAUAAAGCAUGUCCUGACGCCCAAGUCAUUGUCUAGGCGAUCAAAUAGGCUUAGGCUGCCCAACAGGGCCCCUAGUGAAGUCAAGAUUCAAAAAGACAUUCUUUUUAACAAAGUAACCACACUGAUACUGUGCACCUUUUCUCUAAUAAUUAAUGAGCCUAGAAAAAAAAGGGACCUCUAGGCCUUUUUUUAGUUCUAUUUUUUUUUUUCAAAAUGGACACCGUAGCAAUUCUAUUUGUAUUUGACAAAUAUUAUCUAAUCAUAGACUAACUAGACUCAAAAGAUUUGUCUCGUAAAUUACAGACAAACUGUGCAAUUAGUUAUUUUUUUAUCUAUAUUUAAUGUUGUAUACAUAUACUGUAAAAUUUGAUGUGACGAAAUUUUUUUAGAAAAAUUACAAAUUUUUUUGGGACUGAACAAGUCCCUAGUGGUACUACUCCAUUUUUUUCAACACCCAUGCAUGGUAGCUGCGCGGGCCCCACGUGUCAUGCUCGCAGUCGGAGAGCGAGGCAGGGGUGGGGAGCAUGCGCCCACGACAGGCGGAACGCCCUCGGCCGUCCCGUCCUGUCGAGACACGAGCUUAAAUGCAGAGUUUAUGAUGGACGGCAUGAUUGCGAUGGAUCGGAGAAGAAGUGAGCCGGGGCCCCGGCGGCGUGCAGUGCUGGCCCUCCUGCCACCUGGACUGGACUCCAGCCUGGUUGGCAAGAAGACGAUCGAGAGCUAUAUAUAUAUAUAUAUAUAUAUAUAUAUAUAUAUAUAUAUAUAUAUAUAUAUAGCUACGACGACGAGAAAUAAAAAUUAAGACAUGACGGAUGAGAGAGCAGGAUGGAGGGACGACGAGGCCCCCAUGGCCAUGCAUGGCCACCAGGACCGGCCGCUCCCACUCCUCGGGCUAGCUCUCCGUGCAUGCGCCGAUCGGGAGCCGGAGAAGAAGAAGAAGAAGAAGAAGAAGAAGAAGAAGAAGAAGAAGAAGAAGAAGAAGAAGAAGAAGAAGAAGAAGAAGAAGAAGAAGAAGAAGAAGAAGAAGAAGAAGAAGAAGACACGCAGCAAUGCGCGGAGCACUGCCAUCAGCGGCGAACGCAAUGAAUAGCAGCAUACGCGCGCGUCCCAUCCCAUGGAAAGUUGGAAACCUCUUCGCUGAUCUGUCGCGCCGCGGACGCCGGCGGACUGGCAGUGGCAUGCAGUGCUGGCAAGCAGCAGGCUCCGUCCGUGUCCAUGCAAUGCACGCACCCACGCAUCAGACGACGACCAUUUAUUCAUGCAUGCAUGUGUGUGCGUGGCCCAGCUGCAUGCUGAUCGAUGUGUGGGCGUGCUACGGCCUUGUUUAGUUCACAAAAAUUUUCAAAAUUCUCCGUCACAUCGAAUCUUACGAUACAUGCAUGGAGCAUUAAAUAUACAUGAAAACAAAAACUAUUUAUACAGUUCAUCUGUAAACCGCGAGAUGAAUCUUUUGAGCCUAGUUACUCUAUAAUUGAACAAUGUUUGUCAAAUAAAAACGAAAGUGCUACAGUGCCGUUUUUCACAAGUUUUUGCGAACUGAACAAGGCCUACGUGUGACAGUGUGACCCUGCAGCACACACAUCAUUAUUAUUAUUAUUAUUGUUGUUAUUAUUAUUAUUAUUAUUAUUAUUAUUAUUAUUAUUAUUAUUAUUAUUAUUAUUAUUAUUAUUAUUAUUAUUAUUAUUAUUAUUAUUAUUAUUAUUAUUAUUAUUAUUAUUAUUAUUAUUAUUAUUAUUAUUAUUAUUAUUAUUAUUAUUAUUAUUAUUAUUAUUAUUAUUAUUAUUAUUAUUAUUAUUAUUAUUAUUAUUAUUAUUAUUAUUAUUAUUAUUAUUAUUAUUAUUAUUAUUAUUAUUAUUAUUAUUAUUAUUAUUAUUAUUAUUAUUAUUAUUAUUAUUAUUAUUAUUAUUAUUAUUAUUAUUAUUAUUAUUAUUAUUAUUAUUAUUAUUAUUAUUAUUAUUAUUAUUAUUAUUAUUAUUAUUAUUAUUAUUAUUAUUAUUAUUAUUAUUAUUAUUAUUAUUAUUAUUAUUAUUAUUAUUAUUAUUAUUAUUAUUAUUAUUAUUAUUAUUAUUAUUAUUAUUAUUAUUAUUAUUAUUAUUAUUAUUAUUAUUAUUAUUAUUAUUAUUAUUAUUAUUAUUAUUAUUAUUAUUAUUAUUAUUAUUAUUAUUAUUAUUAUUAUUAUUAUUAUUAUUAUUAUUAUUAUUAUUAUUAUUAUAGCCCUAGCUGGACCUGGACCCUUGGUGGUGACUGUCUGACUGAGUUGACCAAUUCACACCUCCUCCUGUGUGCAGAGAACAGCCAGAGUCUGCAGCAUUUUCUGUGGAAAAAAAAAUGAAAUGAUGUAAUAAUGCAAAAGUUCCUAAAAGCAGCAUUCAGCAAGGGAGGCAGCACAUUUGUUCAGAUUAAUAACAUGAGCACUGCGUGAUUAAUUGAUCAUGCAUGAACUUACAAUAAAUUAAAUAAAGCUUGUACAGCAACGGCGGCAAAUUUGAUGCUAUGUAUUCAUAGUUAUAUAUACUCCUACGCCAUACUGAAACUGACAUGAUUAGGAUACAAUACAUACAUAUAUUCCUUCAGGAUGAGAGGUGAUGUGAUAUAACGCUAUAGAAGAAUACUCCAUCCAUCUUACACCAGAUACAAUUUUACUCCCUCUGUCCAUUUUUAAUUGUCGCAGUUGGUGUGCAUGCCACAAGUUUGACUAGAUUUAUACAAAAUACGUGCAACAUUUGUAUCUCCAAAUAAAUUUGUUAAAAAACUAGAUUCAAAGAUCUUUCUAAUGAUACUAAUUAUGUAUUAUAAAUAUUAAUAUUUUUUAAUAUAUAAUUGCCGGUAGUUGUUUUUCGGGAAGCACAAGCGAGGGAUGGAGGGAGUAAACUGGUGCUAAGUCAGACGAUUCAAAGUUUAAUAAGAAGAUUUAGAGAGAGAGACUAAUAAUUUUAUUUAUAGUUUUUUAUAAUUUUUAUAUAAACUUAGUAAAAUUUGAAAUAUAUUAUGACUUUGGUUAGAUUUAAAAUUAUAUUGGUUUUGGGACGGAGGUCGUACUCACGGUCACGGGCACAUGUCUGGUUGCAGAAGAGGCUAGAAGUUGGCAGAGAUGCCCAUACCGGAGGACUAGUUAUUACUAAUUGACAGUUACGUCGCUCUCGAGCCUGACAAAGCAAAGUUUACAUACUCCUAUAGCCUAAUAGCUAAUGCAUGCAUAUGGGCCUUGUUCACGUCGAAAACUAAAAACUUUUCAAGAUUUCCCGUCACAUCAAAUCUUAGAGUACACGCAUGAAGCAUUAGAUAUAAACGAAAAUAAAAACUAAUUACACAGUUUGUCUGUAAAUCACGAGAUAAAUUUUUUAAGCCUAAUUAGUCCAUAAUUGGAUAAUGUUUGUCAAAUAAAAACGAAAAUGUUACAGUGUCGAAAUCCGAAAUUUUUUCGGAACUAAACAAGGCCAUGGUUUCGGUUUCUUUCGGUGCUUGCAUUGUGCUAGUGUCUCGCACAUGUUGUGAAACGCCCUUUUGAGAAUGUCGUAGGGUCGUGCUGUCUCAUCGCCUUCCCAUUUGUAUUUGUAUAUAUCUUCUCUUGGCCAGGUUCAGUUCGAUCAGUCCGGUUUCUUUUUGGUGUGUGUCUGUAUAUAUCAGUGUAUCCAAUGAUCUUUUCUCUAUCAAUCAAUAAGUUAGGCUGCAUUUUUGUUGCCUUGUCCAAGUACCCAUGCGGAUGGGAAUCUAUCACGUCGACACGCAAAUAAAAAAAUAUUCCAAGAAGGCACAUGUCGAGAUAGAAAGAAUGCAAUGCAAUACUCCUCCGUCUUGUACUAAUACAGUACAUUCUAACACUCAAAAAUUGUCUUCGAGUAUAAUACAUUCUAGGCGGCAAAAACCGGUUUUGCAUUAAAUACUUUCUAUUUAUCGAGUAAUCAUCAUUAAUCACAUUUGAUGAUAGCAUAUAAUUAGAAAAUAAAAUGAGAGAAUAUGUGUCUUUUAUGUUAUCUCUUUAUUUGUUUUAAUUUCAAAAGCACACUAUAUUAUAGGACUAGGGGAGUAAACCCCUAGGCACAUGUCACUUUGUUUUUAAGUUUCCUUAACUUUUUUUUACUGUAAAAGCCAACAUGCUAUUUUCAUAUAUGGGCUGAUGUACUUGACAAGCAUGGAUUUGCAAAUAAGAAUGCAUAAUUAAGAGACAAUGGUGAAGGGCCUGCUUGAGUAGGCUAAAAUAGAUAGAUUAAUUGAGGUGUUGACUAAAGUUAACCAUUGCCCAUCCAAACUGGCGAGGGCUAUUUUUUGCACACAUUCUAGCCAUCAUUAACACUUUAGCUGGACUGAUGGGGAUAACUUGUGCUACCUUUAGCUAAAAUGUGUGUGCAAAAAAGACCCCCUAGUUUUGGCAUGGUUUGUUUUCCCCUUACAUACUUAGAGCAUCUCCAAGGGUUUUGCAUUUGAGGUUUGCAUUUGAAUAAUUUGCCAAAAAGCUCCAAAUGCAUUUGGAGUUUGCAAUUUGGGCAACUUGGCAAAUGAGGGAGCAAACUUGGCAAAAAUGUCAAGCUGUGGACGACUUUGCAAACCCGAUUGUGCGAGCAAAGUCACGCGCGAGGAAAGCGCGCGCGCCUAGAGACCUUCUAUUUUUAUCCUUUGCCAAGUCCAAAUGCCAAUUCCUUUGGAGAUGGUCUAUUUUUAUCUUUUGCAUUUUGUUAUGGGAGUUUGCAAAUAGCAACAAAUGCCAAGUCAAUUUGCCAAAGCCUUUGUCAUUUCGGGCAUUAUGGUGUGUUUAAAAGGCAUGCAUGGAUAUAUAUGGUUUAAAAGGUAUGCAUGUAUGGAUGGGUUGAGCAAUUUACAAUACCUUAUAAUUUGAGACAAAAAUUUUAAAUGUUUGAUUUCUUGCAUUUCAGGACAGAUGGAGCAGAUGAGCAAGUUUUCACCGUAAGAAAUCCAACUAGUUGACCUACACGGCUAUACUGAGCUCAUAAUGUGUUUAAUGGUCAACCGCCACAAUUUGCUCUAGCCCUUUUAUUUUGAUAGAUUUGAAUAGCAAUGUUGGAGGUGCAUGAGCCACGGGGCCUCUGCAACCUUUUAUUUUCUAUAGAGCAAUUUUAUGUACUUCAUUUGGGUUGUAAAACCAGGUUUGUUCACCUCGCUACAGAAUGAGUUACCUCUACAACUAUUAAAAAUAGAGAAAAAUACUAACUGUUAACCUUUUCCUUUUGUAAGAGCGAUAUUGCAAAUUCUAUGAGGGGACACACCCGAUAUUUUCUUCCAUAGUUUGAUUCCAUCCUGUUGCCUUUUUGCGGUAUGCUCAUACGUAGUUGUCUUUUUGCACCCUAGCUUGAUCUACAUCUUUUAUCUUUAGACUCACACCUCUAGCGCGUUCCAUGUAGCGCAUAUAUGACUAUAUACAAUUACUAAUGUGUAAUCAAGCUUAUUAAGUACAACAAUUAUAUGUAAUUGAUAGCCGAAACCAAAUGCCAAUGCAUUCUCGCCUUUCUAAACUACUUAUUACUACUUAGAAAAUUAAACAAGUUAACAACUGAACUAACUAAAUAAUUCAUGAGAGAGAUGGGUUAGUUUUACUCUAAAAGUUAAGCAAAGUUAACAACCCAUUCUUGUGGUAUGACACAUGCAUGGGAGAUGGGGCAUCUCCAAGUCAUCGUCACCAUGUAGCUUGACCUAUAAUAUUACUCCUAUAUUAAUUAAUUCUUGUUUUAUACUCUUGUAUAUGUAUGUGCAAUAUAAUACGUGACCUUAUGUAUCGAAUGCCGCCAAGAUAUGGUCGUCAAGUGAUGAUGAGAGUAGUUUCGCUGCUCCUGUUCACAAAGUGGCUUUGGUCUUGCUCCAUUGUUUCUAUGCCCGGGACAAUUAAAUUUUUAACUUCUCCUGGUAAUAUUACUCCUAUAUUAAUUAAUUCUUGUUUUAUACUCUUGUAUAUGUAUGUGCAAUAUAAUACGUGACCUUAUGUAUCGAAUGCCGCCAAGAUAUGGUCGUCAAGUGAUGAUGAGAGUAGUUUCGCUGCUCCUGUUCACAAAGUGGCUUUGGUCUUGCUCCAUUGUUUCUAUGCCCGGGACAAUUAAAUUUUUAACUUCUCCUGGUAAUAUAGGUUUUUUUAGUGUUUUCGUAUUCAAAAUUUAGUACAAAUUUUCUCUAGUAAAUAUCUCUAAGUAAAGAUUCUCUAGUGUUAUGACUAGUGAUAGUAUUUUAUUACUAAUUUAAAAUACUAGGAGAAUUUUAUCAAUUUAGUAGUAUAGUGCUAUGAUCAAGUGCUGCCGUGGAGACGUGCGUGGGCUGCUAGAUGGAGAUUGAUCCAUAUCGACGAACGACACGGAAACAGCAAUGCUGAAAAAACGGCGCAGCCCCGUCCUCACAGCAUAGCAAGUACUACACUACCAUAUAUCCAGAUUCAUGUACUGAUGUACUCUCUCCAUACCAAAAUAGAGGUUGCUAUAGGAUGCAUGUGGAUCAAUUUUUUUUCAACUUUGAUUAGAUUUAUAGAAAAUAUGUGCAACAUUUAUCUUUCUAAAUAAAUUUAUUGUGAAAGUAUAUUCAAUGAUCUAUAUAUGAUGAUAUUAAUUAUAUAUUAUAAAUAUUAAUAAUCUUUUAUAUAUAUUUGGUCAGAGUUAAAAGUCUUUGACUUCUUGGAAAACAAAAACAAUAUUCUAUAUUUUAGGACGAGUAUAGUACACGUGUGUGUGCUAUAUGUCAAAGGUAGCUGGUAACAUAAGACUUUUGUUUGACUUGGCCUGCCUACACUUUUUGUCUCACAAAGCUAAGUCCAAAUUUGGUUUCCUUGGGGGAUGGAUCGAUCAUCAACUCAUCACAUUUCAUCAUUAGCAUCGUAUGUGCCGACUGCCGACACACGACAAUCAUGGAAACGUCGACGUCUCUCAAAUUAAAUAAGAAUUAUAUUGAUUAGUGUACUCCCACUGUCUCAAGAAAGUUACUUCUAGGACUUAUUCGGUAGAUUCGGUACGGCUUCCAAGCUGAAUCAAAGUGUUCAAAGUGAUAUAUCUAAAACGAACUAAUAAGCUAAAAGCUAGAAAAAGAAGCUUCUCCUGAUUUACUCUAGGCAUGCAUAGAUGAGUUUAUCAUAGAGAAGCAUGCAUGGAAAAACAAUGGCAGCACGAGAAUCAACUUCCACAGAGAACCUGGAGCUCUACCAAACAUACCUUAACUACAGUGCUAAAUCAAACAUAUUAUGAUAUCAAAUAAAUGUCAUUGGAUCCAUCCUAUAAUAUAUUUUUAUAGUACAUAUGUUUGAAACUGUAAUUAUUGGCAUUUUUUUCUAUAAACUUUAUUAAGGCCUUGUUUAGUUGGCAAAAUUUUUGGAUUUUGGGUACUGUUGCACUUUCGCUUGUUUGUGUCAAAUAUUAUCGAAUCAUAGACUAAUUAAGAUCAAAAGAUUCAUCUCGUGAUUUACAGACAAACAAUGUAAUUAGUUUUUGUUUUCGUCUAAAUUUAAUACUCCGUGCAUGUGCCGCAAGAUUCGAUGUGACAGAGAAUCUUGAAAUUUUUUAGGAACUAAACAAGGCCUAAAUCUAAAUGUCUUUGAUUAAAUUUAAAUGUACAUUCCUCUUGGGACAUAGAACCAAGUACCUCGCUGUGUGAAAGGAGUACUCCGUACGUCGGUAAGAGUUGGUGUGAACUGUCUGUGUGCAAGAUUCAUCCUCGCUCACUGAUGACUCCCUGAGAAAAGCCACGGCCGGCAUAUCAUGUCGUCUGGUAUGUAUGGUAGCUCGUCGACGAUGCUGCCCAUCACAUCUUGGAAUACGCUUUUGGUUUUGGGCGUGUCCGGUAAGAGCUUGAGAGUAAGCUGUACCUUUCUUCUGGACACAUUGAACUGCCAUAUACUACUAUAGUAUACUCGAUCGAGAUGAUGGAGCUCGAAAAGUUUGAAAAGCAACGCUCGCUGCCUGAGUCUGACGAUUUCCACUAGCUUUACACUUACCACACUGCUCCGUCAAAGAAACACGUUGUUUAGAUAAAAGUUUUGUCAAAACUUCAAAAACUACAAACACCAAUAGCUUUGGGAUUUUCACUACUACAUAUCACCGCCGGCUCCAAAGUGUCCGUCACUGCGGUUUCGUCCUUUCUGGUGAAAGUGGCGGUGUUAAUCUUGAUUAUCACCACCGGACUGCAGGUUAUACGAACUGGUGAUGAUAAUAAGAAAAAUCAACCAAGCCAGUCGAGCCCACGAAACCCACCGAGUCAAAGGUGUGAAGCACUGAAGACUACAUUAAAUUGAGAUGAGAAAACAUAUUUAGAGUUAUUGGUACCUAAGUCUAUAUAUAGGGGGUGUUUGCCACUACUCUACAAACUCCACCGUGGAAUAGCUCCACAGAAAGAAAAACUGAAGUUUCUGGAGUAUCUCUUUAGGUGCUCUCACAACUUCACGUUUUUUCCUCGAACUCAGUGCGUGGAGUUGAAACCGUUUGGCUAAAAAAUAGGGAGUGGAGCAGUUCCAAACACCCCCGUAACAACUAGAUAACAUUAUUAAGAGCAGUCUCAAAUACCCCUAUAACAACUAGAUAACAUUGUUCAUGUUAUCUAGUAAGAGAGAGCAAAGAUGAGUGACUGUAAUUAGAUUUUUUUUGAGGGAAGAGUGAUUAUAAUUAUUAGAUGCCCUAAACCUGUUCCAUAAAUUAUUAGACCGUGCAGCAUGUUGAUGGGCUUUAGUUUAUCCAAUUCCAAGCGAGUAUGAUUGCAGGGCGAGCUGCCACUCAAAACUGUCGCGAACUAUCCACUAAAAAAAAAACUGUCGCGAACUAGCGCACACUGCCACACCCACACGGGCACACUGGGAUGCGCGCGGUGCAAUUUGCCUCACGGGCCUGGACUGGACCGCGCAGUGGCUCGGCUGAAACCGUGAACGGGCUUGGGCCGCAUUCUGCUGCCCGUCGGUGUCUUGUUGGGCGGUGCCCGGGACUCUUUUCCUCUCUCUCUCUGUAAAAAAAAAAUCAAACAUCUUCUCAAGCCAACAACGAUCAAACAUAUUAUCAUCUCUACUAGUAGUACAAGGUUAAUCUCAUGUUUGGAAUUCGUUGUACUCCCAGAAAAUGUUUGAAUCCAAUUACGAUGGUAUUGCACUAAACAUAUAUAUGUAAAUCUCUCAAAGAGUCAGCCCGUUAGAAGCCUAUAAUAUAAUAGUUAUAUUGUUAGCCUAAGUGGCUUUAUAGAGUUAUACUUGAGUUUAGGGCACUCAUAAUGUAAGACUCUAUCAUAGAGUCUAAGAUAAUUAAUUACAUAUUAUUUAUAGUAUUUUGCUAAUGUGGUAGCAUAUUUAUUAAAGAAAGAGGUAGAAAAAAUAAGACUUCAAGUCUUAUUUAGACUCUAAAUACACAUUAUUCGAGGUAAUAAAUAACUUUAGACUCUAUGAUAGAGUCUGCAUUGUGAGUGCCUGUAAGACUCUAUCAUAGAGUCAAAGACAAUUAAUUAUAUAUUAUUUAUGGUAUUUUGCUGAUGUGGCAGCAUAUUUAUUAAAGAAAGAGGUAGAAAAAAUAAGACUCCAACUCUUAUUUAGACUCUAAAUCCACGUUGUUUGAGGUAAUAAAUAACUUUAGACUCUAAGAUUGUCGACGAAAGCUAGUCGGCAGUCUACCUUGGGGUAUACCUACGGUAGUAGUUUAUCGGUAGACGGUGCGCAAGCUACGAACUUGAUGGUGACGCAAGACACGGACAAGGUUUUUAUCCAGGUUCGGCUGCCGGGUGGGCGUAAUACCUACGUCCUGCAUCUGAUUGUAUUGGAUUGUGUCGAGUUGAGAGAUAUCCUAGGGGGUACCCUGCCUCUCCUUAUAUAGUCCAGAGGGCAGGGUUACAGAUCUGGAAACUAAUCCUAAUCGGUUACAAUUGCUAUAGAUAGUACAAUAUCAAUUCCUAUUCUAACCGACUAGAAUCCGGCUUGAUCUCCACGUCUUGUUUCCUUGCGCGAAACUCCGAGCAGUUGGAUCAAGCCUUGGACUGUCUUCGUGAUGAGCCAAGCCUCCAGGCCCAAGUCUAGCCGUAAGGUAUAGGGGUUUAUACCCCCACAAAGAUAGAGUCUGUAUUGUGAGUGCCCUUAGUACCUCCUGUAUUAUUUAGUACACUCCAAAAGCCCAAAACUUUUUAAGAUUCUCCGUCACAUCGAAUCUGCGGUACAUGCAUUGAACAUUAAAUAUAGAUAAAAACAAAAACUAAUUGCACAGUUUAUCUGUAAAUCGCGAGACAAAUCUUUUAAGGCUAGUUACUCCAUGAUUGGACAAUAUUUAUCAAAUAAAAAUGAAAGUGCUAUAGUGCCAAAAUCCAAAAAUUUUUUGGAUCUAAAUAAGGCCUUAAUAGUCUAAGACAGGAUGAGUACCAGUUUAUGAGCUGGUUUGUAGUGUCCCAUUUGUAUAUAGUAUACGAGACAAAAUUAUCUAUUUUCCCCCACCGAGACAAAACAGUAAUCAUCGUGCACAAACAGAAAAAAAAAAUAUUCAAUUCAGAGUCCAGUAGCUCACCGCUUAGCAAAAAUCACAGAAAGCAACAGGUGUUGAUAAGCAGAGAGUCCCAGCCCUAUAAUUAGCCGUUAAAAUCUAUAACUCUUAUAAAGCUAAACCCCCACUAGAUGAGUUCUCUCUUCAUGCAAAGUGUCCACAUCAUUCCCCACUAAGUGACCCACUAAAUAUUCUAUCUCUUCAUGCAAAUUGUCCACAUCAUUCCCCACUAAGUCCAUAUCAUCUCAUAUUAAUUAUAAAAAAUUACCAUGUCAUCUAUAUCAUGUGAAAUACUUAAAUCUUUAAUCUAUUAACAUACAAGUCAUGUACAUACACUAUUUGUUUUAUCACCAAUUAAUUCCUCUAUAAUGUAACCGAAUAUUAGUUUUUGUUCUAUUAGAUUAGCAAUUUUUUACUAGAUCUAAUACAAUAAAAUACAUGCAAGUCAAAAUCAUAUGUAUACAUACAUAACAGAUUGAAUGCUAUAUAGUAAUGCUAUGUAUAUAAUGAUUUAUUUUUAGGAAAAUCCCGCAGCAACGCGGAAUUUACCUAGUUAGGCCUUGUUCAGUUAAGGAAAAAUUUUGGUUUUGGCUACUGUAGCACUUUCGUUUGUUUGUGACAAAUAUUGUCCAAUUAUGGACUAACUAGACUCAAAAGAUUCAGCUCGCGAAUUACAGGUAAACUGUGUAAUCAGUAUUUGGUUUUGUCUACAUUUAAUACUCCAUGCAUGUGCUAUAAGAUUCGAUGUGACGGGGAAUCUUGAAAUUUUUUGGAACUAAACAAGGCCUUAAUCUAAUGCAGUAAUCCUCCUCCUCUUCCUCUCGCCAGAAGCAUCCAUCCAUCCACCUCCACCCCCAAAAAAUCUUGGAGAAAAGAAGAAAAAAAGAAAAGAAAAAGGCAAGCCGAGUUCCCAAUUUGCCCAAACCCCUCCUCCAAGCACAAGCAGUAAGCAGAAUCCAAUCCAAUCCCCUCCCCUCCCCCGCUCGCGCCGCCCCCUCCCUCCACUAAUCCAAUCCAUCCAGCCCCCUCCCCCGCGAAUCAAUCCAUCCAUCCUUCUUCCUCCGCAAGCCAGAGACAGAGGCGGCGAUUGUCCACCGUGCGUGUUCCCUCCGGCAUCCGCGGGACGGACGGGGGAGCAAAACCUCACCAGCGGCGAGGGUGGGCGAUGAGGUCGUCGGAGCCGUCGUCGCGGUUCGUGCAGGAGCUCGUGCUGUACGCCGCCAGCGCCGCGCUAAGCUGCCUCGUCCUCUUCGCGGGCCUCCGCCACCUCGACCCCAACCGCGCCGCCUCCCAGAAGGCGCAGCAGCAGAAGAAGGAGAUCGCCAAGCGACUCGGCCGGCCCCUCGUCUCCACCACGCCCUACGAGGUCCGUCCCUCCCCUCCUCCUCCUCAUCCUCAUCCUCCCCGCUCCAAUCCACACCCGCCUCCCCCAUCUAGGGUUCGCCUCAAUCCUAAGUUGGUGUCUCCCUCACCGACAGGACGUGAUUGCGUGCGACGUCAUCAACCCCGACAGCAUCGACGUCGAGUUCGACUCCAUUGGCGGCCUCGACCAGGUGAAGCAGGCGCUCUACGAGCUCGUCAUCCUGCCCCUGCGCCGCCCGGAGCUCUUCGCCUUCGGCAAGCUCCUCAGCCCCCAGAAGGGCGUCCUCCUCUAUGGCCCGCCCGGCACGGGCAAGACCAUGCUCGCCAAGGCCAUCGCCAGGGAGUCCGGCGCCGUCUUCAUCAAUGUCAGGAUCUCCAAUCUCAUGAGCAAGUGGUUCGGGGACGCGCAGAAGCUCGGUGAGCAAUUAUAUUCUUGAUUGGUCCUAGUCCUCUUGCUGAUUUAAUGCUAGUCCACUGGACAUCCACUGGUUUUGGAUCCAUACCAGUUAUAGUAGUGCCAUGCGCAUGCGCCGAUGUUUAUAUGCGCUGCAUUUUUAGUCCCAUUGCUAAUCGAGCUGCCCACUAGAAACUUAAUUACUCUAGAAACGAUGGCACUUGCAUAGUCUUUUGUGUCGGGAUGCUAUAGGAAUCCACAGAUUUUGAAUCCAUACCAUUUAUAGUAGUUUCUUUGUCUUUUGUUUGUAUGUGAUGGACUGAUGUUUUUAUACGUUAUUAUAUUAUUGCUGUUGCCGCGGUGGCUGCAUUGUAUUGAUUUGCAUUGCUAAUUUAGCUGUCCACAUAUUUACUAAUUUAGAAUUGAUGCCAAUUGUAUUCUUUUUUUGUGUGUGUAUGCUAUACACUGAUGUUGGUAUGUUGUUGCUGUGGCAGUGGCUGCUGUAUUUAGUCUCGCUCACAAGCUCCAGCCUGCUAUUAUUUUCAUUGACGAGGUUGAUAGUUUCUUGGGGCAACGACGGACAACCGACCAUGAAGCCAUGACUAAUAUGAAGACAGAGUUCAUGUCCCUCUGGGAUGGCUUCACCACUGAUCGUGAGUCCUCUUAUACUUUGUUGACAAUGAUGUCAACUUGUGAAGCAUUUGCUUAUAGUAACAGUAUAGUUGCGCUUUAAUUUUUUCUGAGCGUGCAAGUGACAUAACCCUACUUCAAAUAAGCACCCUGUAUAGAACAACAUUAUUAGCGAAAAUAAAUCUUGAUUGUCAACACCAUCCAUGUUUUUUUGGUUUUUAUCAGUCCAUUUGAUAUCGAUUAAUUCUUCCCAUUGCAUAUUAUUGCUGAAUAAUGCUAUUAGUCUGCUCUGAAUUUUACAUGCAUUCAGCCUUAAAAAUUCUGAAAAGAUGGUACUACUAUCACACUAGCAUUGUGAUUAGAGUCACAAGCAUGUGCAAUGUACAGAUAUCUCGAUGUGUUCCCCCCCCCCCCCACCCCCCCAUUUUCCAUGUUCUAAAAUAAGAUGCACUUUUUGCUAUUUCUGUUAAAUAAGACGUUCCAGAAACUUAAGCUAACAGAUGUAGAUCUGUGCUUUGUGUGAAUAUAAUAAUCCCAUAGCAGGUACCUGUUUCAUUUACCUUCCAUGAUUUGAAGCCUAUAGAUACUGACGUGUGCUUUAAGCCUUGUGGGAAUAAUAAUCCUCACACUGGCCAUAUGUUCCGUUGUUCUUAACAAACCUGUUUACAACACUGCUCUUCUUAGUUUGUGUUUGUUCUAUUUUGUGCGAGUUUAUAAUGCUGCCUAUAUUCAUAUUUCAUAGAUGUGUAAUAUUUAUGUAAUAUCAUGACUUCUGUUGUAUAUCUGUAUGGAGAUACUUGCAGCCUUGACAUUUGUGGUUGCUGUGAUGAUUCCCCCCCCCCCCACCCUGGGGACUGGCUAGUGGUCUGAUUGCAAGUGUUCACUUUUUUUUUUUUUUUUUUUGCAAAAUUGUUACAGUUCCCCCCCCCCCCCCCCAAUAUGAUUUCUGUCCCCGUCCCUAAUGAACAGGGAGCAACUAGUGUACAUCCAUUGAUGCUAGCUUAGAUGAGAAUAAUUUGCUUUGGCGCAUAUUAUUUGUGGGUACUGUCUUGAUGAGAUUAGUGUUGUUAUUGACAUCGAGAUAUCUGUACAUCGCACAUGCUUGUGACUCUAAUCACAAUACUAGUAAGUAGUUCUGAAUGUGUGUAAAAUCCAGAGAGAGCAAAUUAAUAGUUUAAUAAUGAAAAAUGUUUUCAGUUUAUAUAUCCAUUGUUCCUUGUAAAACAGGGCCUUGUUUAGUUCCCAAAAAAUUUUGCAAAAUUUGUCAGAUUCCCCGUCAUAUUGAAUCUUGCGGCACAUGCAUGAAACAUUAAAUAUAGAUAAAAGAAAUAACUAAUUGCACAGUUUACCUGUAAUUUCCGAGAAGAAUCUUUUGAGCCUAGUUAGUCCAUGGUUGGACAAUAUUUGUAAAAUACAAACAAAGUGCUACAGUACUCAUUUUGUAAAAAAUUUUGGAACUAAACAAGGCCCAAGAUAAAUUUAUCUUUUUUGUGAAUGUAUGUUUCACCUUUUUUUUAGGAGAAGUGAAAUAUUUGUUGUAUUGGUGAACUUGCCUAAGGCCUAUUGCAGUAGCUUUUAGGGUCGUUCCUUCUCUUUCUGGCAGGAUGAUCGUUUCAUGUAUGGUAGAUUGUGGAUGUGUGUGUUGUACAGAGUUGAGUAAUCUUUCUUCUUAAAGUGUUCGAUAGAAAAGACCCCCCCACCCCUCUCUGGGGAGUAGUUUUGCUACGUGCAUGCCUCUUUUGCUUUUUUUUUUUGGGAUGCAAAUUGUAAAUUGUUAAAAUCAAUGUAGGGCAGACUUCUGUCAAGAAAAUAUUUGCAGGUUCAAGAAACCUCAGAAACCAACAAAAAGUUAUUGCCAUGGCAUGGGCCCUACUUUUCCACCUUUGCCUGUUAAAAGUAACUAAUUCUAGACGUGUGUUCUUUCUCCAUUGGAUCCAUACAAAUAUGUAGAGGGUAACAUGUAGCCUUUUACACAUUUCAUGAAUAACAAAUGACUCCCUAAUCCAGCAUGAUUCCCCAGUACUUCUAAAAAAAAUGACUUGGUCACAUGGAUAUAGGGAUUGCUUAAACAUUUUUUUUCAUUUGCAUGAAGUUAUGUGUCUAAGGCAGACACAAGAAGUCAAUGCAACUUAUUGGUUGAUAUCUUAUUAUCUCGUGAGAUUUUUCUGGUGGCAUAUCUUCUGAAUGGUUGUUAUUUUGACAUGUGGAUAUGCAAAUUAUUUGCUGUGCCUGUACGGACUCACUUCCUAUAUGGUACUGAUCAGUACUUAAUGAUCACUUGUAUGUCUUUCCAGAGAAUGCUCGUGUAAUGGUCCUGGCUGCUACAAAUAGGCCUUCUGAGUUAGAUGAGGCCAUCCUAAGGCGCUUUACUCAGAUAUUUGAGAUUGGAAUUCCUGUUCAGAGUGAAAGGAGCAAGAUACUUCAGGUUGUGUUGAAGGGAGAAAAUGUCGAGCCUAAUAUUGAUUACGAUCACAUUGCAAGAUUGUGCGAGGGCUUUACUGGAUCAGACAUCCUCGAGCUGUGCAAGCAGGCAGCAUUCUACCCUAUUAGGGAGCUAUUGGACAAUGAGAAAAAUGGGAGGCAAUUAGAUGUGAGUAUUCUUACUUCUGUUUCCACUUAACCUGGAGCUAUACAGGAUUGCAUGCUGUUUUCUGAAAAAUCAAUUUAUAAACUCAUGGCUAAACUAGAACUCAUGGAUAACACACACCACCCCUGCCCCACACCAAGUUGUGGGGCUGCCAAUGAGGGUUUAAAAAAGGGCCUCGUUUAGAUAUAUGAUAUACUGGUUUCAGCAUGUUUUCUCUACCUAUAAGAAAAUGUCUUGGUCCAGUGUUUUUUUUUUUAUUUAGUCCCAAACUAGAAUACACAUUCCCUUCUGAUAACUCAACAGUGUUCGCUAUAGUCUGUUAACAUAUGAUGUUGAUUGUUACCUUGGAAUAUGUUGAUUUUAUAUGUUGGAUUCGUGUAUAAAAUUCAGAUAGAAUUGUUAUUUGGACUAAAGGUUAUCUGUCUGUAGUUUUGCUGUUUAUAUUUGGAUACUGGUGAAGAAGUGAAGUUCGAUAACUAGUCUCACAUUGGUUUUUGCUUCUUCUCUUCCUACUGCUGUUUCAGAAACCUAGACCUUUGAGACAAUCAGACUUGGAGAGAGCCCUAUCAACGUCUAGAAAGGGCAAGAAGGCUGCAAGUUCAGGACUGCAGUCACCCUUGUGGGUUCAGCCGACAGAUUCAGAAGACGAUCAGGUACAGAACGCGAUCUUUGAGAUAUCUAAGCUGAUGUCUCGAAUAGUUCAGAACAGUCAGUCAGAACCGCAAGAGCCUUCUUCACCUUAAUCUAAUCCUUUUGCUAGAUCUCGUGAAAAUCUACAGUGGAGUAAACGCAGGCAUUACGUCGAUACCGUUAGGUUUUCUUAUGCAGCUUGCAGAGGUUCAGCAUAUGUAUUAUUUCUUUUUGCGUGGCGAUGCUGCACCUGGUUUUUUGAAGCUAACUGCAGCUGGCAAAGUGGCAAGUGUGCCAUGGUGUUUAAGUUGAUCAUUCAAAGUUCAUGCCCCUAUGGGCAGCAAACUCAGAACUCCAUAGUUGUCUGGCCAACAAUUGGUCCUGGUUGCCUUGUAUUUUAUUUUCAGUUUAACUAAUCUAGGGUAUCGAAUUACGCCGUAGUAAUGCAGAAAGGGCCCCUUAAGUCUCAUCAUAUUCCCAAACGUGCUUCGAUUUUUGUUUGGUCUGAUUAUUAUUUACAUAAUACAUGUAUAACGUUCCUUUUUUAUCUUUUAUUAUCUCCGUUAAGAAAAAUUCUUUCGGAGCACAAUCUGUUUGAACUUAUUAGUCAGACACUACGAGGAACGCUGAUGGAAGCAGAGUGUUCUGUGAAAUACUAUACAUUUCCACUGUUGCAUGUAUACGCAACUAUGCAUGCACCACCACCGGUCACGUGCACGAGCAGCUGCUUGCUCUCCUCAAGGCGCUCGUCUCCAUGAUGGAUAUCUCAUCAGCCAGCGACAGCUUGGUGCCCUUGAGAGCCAGCACGUCGGCGGCGCCGGUGUCCUCGUCCGGCGCUGCCUCCAGCCUCUUCCUGGACACGUUAGCGUGGAUCUCCUGGAGCAGCGUGAGGAAGGCGCGCUCGACGUUGUCCCCGCUGAGCGCGGACGCCUCGGAGAAGAAGAGCCCCUGCUCCUCGGCGAAGAGCGGCCGCCUCGUCUGCCGCCACCGCACGGCGCCGGCCAGGUCGGCCUUGUUGCCGACGAGCAUGACGACGAUGGACUUGUCAGCGUGGGCGCGGAGCUCGGUGACCCAGCGCGCGGCGUGUCGGCUGGUGACGUCGUAGACGAGCAUGGCGCCCAGCGCGCCGCGGUAGUAGGUCCGCGCUCCUGGCCGGCGGUGUCCCAGAUCUGGGCCUUGACGCGGUGGCGGGCGAUGUCGACGGUGCGCGUCUGGAACUCGAUGCCGAUGGUGGACUUGGAGUCGAGGAAGAACUCGUCGCGGGUGAAGCGACCCAGCAGCUGCGUCUUCCCCACCGCCGAGUCGCCGAUCACCACGAUCUUGAACACGUAGUCCUCCUCCAUCGUAUCUCCGUUACACACCACUACUAAUAUCUUCUGCUUGCAGCUGCAGCUAAUGACUUAAGUUCAAUUCUCCGGCCGUCUCGUUCUUAGCUUGUAUAGAUUAGAUAUAUAUGCUUACAUAUGUCAUCUGUGUGUGUCUGCAUAUAUAAAAUAAAUAUAUGCUGGUGAUGACAUUGGCAUGUAUAGAGAGGGGAGUGGUUGAGAGGGAGACGAGGAGAGGUUGCUCUCGCUCCUGCUAUUGGAGGUGCUCAUAAGCAUCUUUCAUAAGGGAGACUGCUGCUAGGGUGUGAGCUGGGAGAGAUUAAAGCAAGAGUACGGAAUACUUAACUUGGUGUACGUUUGCACUAGUUCUACAGCGAGUUUGGUACACGUAUAUGGGCAUAUGGCACUUUUCUCUUUCGGCUUCGAUUCAUGGUUGGAAAGAAAAAAAAACUGUACUUAAGGAUAUGAAUGUAGGCGCAUGCAUGUGUUCUUUUCCAAGAAUGUUUUUGUUUGUUUUCGAUGCGUUGGUAUUUUUAUCUGCAUUCGUUAACUCCAUCGGAUAUGAUCAUCGUGUCUACCAUUCCAUCUCCAUCCACUUGGGUUUUGCUACAAAUAAUAAAUGACGGUGGAAGAUAAUACGAAUCAAAGUACAUGCAUGCGAUUAGCUUAUCGUAAUCCUAUACUCUUAUAAAGCAAAAACCUCACUGGCAAUUUCUUCUUGACAUACAAGAUGCCCACAUCAGCGUGUCACGCUUUCCACUAACAUUAGUUUAUACUAGUUAAUCUCUUCCUAAGAAUUAUAUGAAUAGGUAAAUUUUAUUCUAAAUCAAUAGUUCUUGCAGUAACGCACGGAUGUUCUCCUAAGAAUUGUAUGACUUGUUAAAUUUCAUUCUAAAUCAGUAGUUCUCGCAGCAACGUACGGGACGUUCUUCUAGUAUAAAGUAUACAGGAUGACAUAUUUCUCUCUAGUCAUAUACAACGCAAGCAUAAGACGAGAAGCCCAAGCAGCGAUUAUAUGCAGAUCGAUAUCAUGUCUUACGUAAUUGUUAACCUAAUCGGCUAAUCAUAUAUAUGACAUUAGCGGUUAGGUUUGCAAGUGGACCUGAUGAAGAAUAAAUUGAAGGUGAUUGGUUGAGGGAUGGAUAUUAAAUAUAAUCGGCAUUAGCAAAAACCGACUUACUCGAUGCGCAAUCAUCAACUGCUACUUUUGAUUUUUUUUCAAGACACAUUAUAACUAUACUAGCAGCUAGUGUGAUUACGUCUCUGCCUCUAACCAUCUUGGUUUUAUUUCUUGGAUUUCCAGUUGCUGUGUCAUGUCCUGUCCUGCUUAUUAACGAUUCAUCAGUGCGAUGAGAUUGUCAGUAUGCAUAAUCUGGCUAGCCAGGCCGUUACAUGAUUCAGUAUCUUUGUUGGUUCCAGGCAGUUGUUCCGACCUCAUUUAGAAACUCCGGCGCGUGAUCAUCAAACUGCUUGAAAAUUGAAAUUAUUAUUUAUUAAAGCGUGGUUCAGGGAAUCAUGAAGUGGUUUCUAGCUAAGCAAACCAAUCACCAAUUAAAGCUUCAGCAGUUGCUGCUGAUGCCACUGCUGCCGAGCAGUUUUGCAUGCUGAUUCUGAACACUCUGACGAUGUUCAUAUGUGCUGACGCUCGGCAUGCAUGCUGAUUGCAGUUUUGCAGGCGACUGUUUGCUGGUAUGAAAAACUAUGGUCUAAAGAAAAACACUACUAACUAGCAGAAAAAAAAUAUGAUUUAUUCAACCAACCUGAUCGUAGAAAUAGCCGUGGUGCAUGGCACCAUCCUAUAAAGUUGCUAAAAAUAUGUAAAUGGGAGUCUGGGAUAAAAUGUUGUAGCCACUAGCCAAGCAAGUAAACCAACCAAUAAUAAGUAAGCUCCACCUGUUUUGCUGCUAAAUGCUACUGCAUAUUCUGCAUAAUUCAGAGUGACAAAUGCUGUAGCGCCAAAAUGGUCGUGUAUUUGAUACAAAGCAUGCAUGGCGUAGUGUUCAUCAUUGUACAGAUGUUCAAUUAACUUUUGUUUAAAGCAGCAGGCCUAGCUAGUAGGCGUGGCGCGCGCGCGGCGGCUGGUGCGGCAGCAGGUGGUCGCAGAUGGCGGCGAACUCGGCGAGGGCCUCGGCGACCAUCCCGGUCUUGCCCUUGGCGACGAGCAUCCUGACGAGCGCGGCCACCCGCGCGUCCAUCUGCUCCACGACCGCGGCAGCGUCCACUUCCAGCCGCCCAGGGCGGAGGACGAGGAGCUUGCGCGCGUGGCGCGCGGCGCGGCGCAGCGUGCCGGCGCGGGCGCACGCGUCGGCCAGCGCGGCAGCGUACCCCGUCGCGGCGCGGCUGGAGGAGCGCGCGGCGGGUGGGGCUUGAGCUGGGACCGCGGGCGCCGGGGACGACGGCGAGAUGGGGCGCGCGGCGACGGCGAGGCUCAGGCGCGCCGAUGGAGGAGCCUGGGCGUGGGCCUUGGACGACGGCGCGUUUGCGGCGCAGUGGUUGUGGUGGUGGUGGUGGUGGGGCGCUGGGAGAGGGAGCGGGUGCGCGCCGUGGACGUGGUGGUGCAGGGGCAGGGAGAGGGAGAGGGAGACGGCGGCGUCCAUUGUGCUGUGCUGUGCUGGCCUGCUGGGGGAGACGACGGACGGAGAGGAGAGGCACAGCCACACGGUUAUUCUGCUAAGCGGGUGGCGGCUCCAGGCCACGCCACGGGGCGUGGGUCCCGACGACGGCACGUCCGCACGGGCGCGGGAGGGAGAGGAUGGGAACGACGUGGUGGAGGAGGCGGACACGCACACGGCGCCGGUGAGCUGAGCUGGGCGGACUGGACCGGGGACGGGGACGUCUCUGAUGGGCGCCGCCGCGCUCCUCAGCGGUGGGCCGCGCGAAUGCCGUGGGCUCUUUUUCUUGCUUCCAGAGAGACCGACCGAGACCAGCACCACCUGUUCCUGUUGGGAGGUGGGACGAAACGAAACCCGAGAGGAUAGCCCACCGGAACGGAACCUCCGAUCCUCUCCACGGUCAAUCAAUCAUGUGCCAUUGCUGUGCCCAUGCCGUCCUGCCUCCGAUCGCCGACCUUUGGUAAAGGUGCAGCAAGCAUGCAGAUGCAGUCAGACUGCUCAACAGUGUGCAGGAGCACGCAUGCACUUUUUUUUUUUUUUUUUUUGCAAGAUCUAGACACAGACAUGUACGCUCAUGACAAAUAUCAAAAUUAACAAAGUCAAAUAGGCCACCCUAACUCUCAAGUCCAGAAGUUGAAUCUAAGGCCUGAUUCUGAUUUAGUUUCUGGAAAUUUUUAAGAUUUCUUGUCAUAUCAAAUAUUUAGAUAUAUAUAUAAAGCACUGAAUAUAAAUAAAAAAUAAUAAUUAAUUAUACAAUUCGUUUGUAAUUUAUGGAGAAAUCUUUUGAACCUAAUUAAUCUAUGGUUGGACAAUAAUUGUCAAAUACAAAUAAAAAUGGUACGGCAGACAAACCCAAAAAACUUCACCAAUUAACUAAACAAGGCCUAAGUGAACAGAUAUACCACCACAGAGAACCUAACCUAUAUUCAGUCACCGUUAGAUGCACCUUCAAUUCAAAAAAAAAAUCGAUCUUGUUUAUAGAUGACAAGCAAUUCUAAGUCCAUUUAAAUCUAAAAAAUACCCCCCUCCCCCCCAAAAAAAACCUGGGUCGUAAGAAGUUUAUUAGAUUUUAUUUGAUUGUACUUAUAUCCACCUUAAUCUAUAUACGCUGAGUUGAGUUGAAAUUAAAGUUUGUUAUUUUUUCUAAUUGAUAACUUGAGGUAGAUAAUAUGAGUUUAGCCAAACAAGGUCUUAAGGUGCUCUGCACCUAUAGCACCCCGAAUCAUGGUAUAUUUCUUCAUUUUCACCACAACAGAGACAUUGAACAUAUAGAACACUUAAAUAAUGAUAUUUUAGACAUCCAGAUCAACUUGCUCAUAUAGUUAGCCUAUUUGGGACUACUUUGUUCGCUUUCAACUUCACUAGCCAAACAUGGAUAGCUCCAAAUGCUGCUCCAGGAUAAAAGGUAGAGUCGAAGGUCAACUCUAGGUUUUUUGUUAUAGAUGGAUUCCGUCUCCAAAAUGAGAAUAGUUAUAAAAUCUUUCGAUCAGCAAACAGUGAUUAUAUAUUCGUCUGAUCCCGUUUCCUUUCGAAAUGAUAGAUGAAUAUCUAUCGUUUAUUAAUAGUUGAGGCGUGUGUCAACUUGCCGCUCUGCAGACUGCAGGUUAUUAUAGUUUACAUAUAUAUAUAUAUAUACGACAUUAAUCCCCCCUAGACAAAGGCAAGGCAGCCAUGCAUGCGCCGCCAACAGGUUCCAUGACACUGCCCAUGCCCUCCUGCCCCUACCACCCAUGGUUUUUUGCUUGCUUGCGAGUUGCAAGUUUGCAACGACGACACACACACCCCUCCGGACGACCGGACCCCCCAAGCAUGGCAGGCAGCGCGCGUGCAGACAAGGCCGCACACGCACGAGGAGGCACGCGCGCACACAUAUAUAUAUAUAACCUCCUGGGACAGCAGCUCCGUCUACCGCGAACCGAACCAACAAGAAGAGGUAGAGAGGAAGAAGAACACGCCUCGUUGGGCUAGCUUGGGCAUCAUAUAUAUCGAUCAUAUCUUUGCCGCCAUGCAUGGCUCCAUAUAUACCUAAGCCUAGCUAGCUAGCUAGCUAGGAGCCACCAUCGAUCAUCAGCUAGCAGCUUCUUCUAGCUCUCUUCUCGAUCUUGUCUUCUCUGAGAGCCGGCCGGCAAGCAAGGCAUGGAUGGAAAGGGCGCCAGCAUAGCAAGCAAGGGGAUUACCAUGCCAUAGCUGCCUUGCUAGCUAGAGAGUGAGCAGGCGCGCGCGCAUGAAAGAGACCAACAAGGUCACGGCGGAGGCGAUGGAGGAGGAGGAGGAGGAGGAGGAGGAGGAGGAGCGGUACGUGAAGGUGGGGACGAGGUUCUACCGGGUGACGAUGAGGCCAAACGGCGGCGGUGGCGCCGGCGACGCCGUGGCGCGUCGUCGUCGUCGCCUCCACUACCUCGAGUCCUGCUACCUCUGCAAGCAGAGCAUCGCCUGCGACCGCGACGUCUUCAUGUACAAGUACGUGCGUGCGCCAUCGCGCCAUCGCUCGUCGUCUUCCCCUAGCUCUCAUCACCUCCCUCCUUUCCCUGUUCGUUCGUUCCAUGCAUGCAUCACACAUGUGCACACAGGGGGGACGCGGCGUUCUGCAGCGAGGACUGCAGGGACGACCAGAUGGACAUGGACGAGGCGCUCCACGCGGCGGCGCGGCGCCACCGCCUCCUGCAGCGCUCUCCGGCGUCCGCCUCCUCGCAGUCGUCGCAGGCGGCGGCGUCGACCAGGCCUCCGCCGGUGAUGCGCCGCCGCCCCACCAUCGCCAACCUCGCCGCGCGCAACCCGCCCGUGGCCGCCAGCUAGCCAGUACCCGUGGCGGCCACUCCACUCGUCGACAAGCUUGCUCGGGCAGCGAGGACUCUUCAGUGCGGCUGCACCGAUCAGCUAGCUGUAGGCCGUACCCGUACCUGUACGUAGGCUACCUAGGCAUGGAUGAGUGUGUUGCAGCCAGGAACCGUCGUCGCGGGAUGAGUAGGGUGAUUCUUUUCUGCCGCCAUGGAUGAGUUGCAGACUGCUUGCAGCAGGACGCCAUUACCGCCGGCAGCAGCAGUUAGCUAGCUAGCAAGAGCUACGACGGAGCACGCACGGACUGACGAUGGACGGCACGCAACUGGACGCUACGUAGAAACGAAUAACGAAGCUUUGUGGUGACUUAGCUACCUACAUGUACAAAAUCAGUAGUAGUAAAUUAAAAGAUUAAUUAUAUAUUAUUACCAUGUGUUCUUGAGCUAAAUUUCUAGCUUCAUUAUUUCAUCUUCCUCUCGUUUUACUAUUUACUUCAUUUCUUGCAUUUUUUUCUUCCCAUGAGGUCCAUCGAUGUGACUUUUGAAAUGGACGGGUGAGAAAUUCAGAACGAUGCGAUCGAGUUAACAAGAGAUAUGGGCCUUGUUUAGUUUUCAACAAAAACCAAAAAGUUUUUAAAAUUCUCCGUCACAUCGAAUCUUACGGCACAUGUAUGAAGCAUUAAAUAUAAACGAAAAUAAAAACUAAUUAUACAGUUUGUCUGUAAAUCACGAAACAAAUCUUUUGAUCUUAUUUAAUUCAUGAUUGAACAAUAUUUACCACAAACAAACAAAAAUACUACAGUAGCAAAAUCCGAAAACAUUUCACAUCUAAACAAGGCCAUCGUCGAGGUGCCACGGCAUGCACACUUGUCUUCCAUUAGUCUGAAGAAGGGCAGUUAAUCCUAACCUUUUGUCCUAAACAUAAUCUCACUUGUACUACCUGCCAACUUUUUUUACCAGGGCUUAGCCUGCAAGAUUUCAGACGCCUCAUCAUUUCAUCCUUCACUUCUGUCUUCUGAUUGAUGACGAUUCUUGUUUCUAUUUUCAUGCUCAAAAUAAUUGCAAGAAACUGGCAGCAACACAAGGGUAAUAAUUAUAAUUAAGCUAGCAUCAUGUUCCUUUGCUUUGCAGCAACCACACGUACUGAUGAAAGCAAAAGCUUACCACCCAUUAUUUCUGUCCUGGUGUGGAAAGAAAAAGGGACAGUGCAGUGUUUAAGUCACAGUCAAGGACACUGCCACAGUGUGAAUGUUUUCUAGUUGCACAUACUUUGCACUGUCCAUUCAGCAUGUUCGUUUGCCAUUCUCUCAAUCAUUCAUCAAAGUUUUUCUUCCUCAUAACAAAUUAAUAAAUAAUAUUUUCAGACAUAACUUAUCAUACCAAGCAAACAUCAGAAACAAAUUGCUUCUCUUUUCCAACAAAAGUAUAAUUUUAGAAUAGUGUUAAGUCAACUGAUUUGAAGUUUGACCAAAUUUAAAUUAUGUAAAAAUAUUCUAAUAUUUGUCAAGUAUCGUGAUUCUUUAUGAAAUAUUAUAAUAUAUUUAUUAGAGCCAUGCAUGUUGAUAAUAUGUCCUAUUUAGAGUCACAAAAUACUUUGACCAUACCUGAAACCACAUAGAGAAGUUUGCAUUGAUCUGCAUGUCAACGUGAUGCAUCACCGUGCAAUGAUUUCAGACACUACAAUUUAUAACAAAUUACCGAACGAAUGCACUUUUGACCUUGAAAUGAUCCAUGUUAUUGAUUGUUGAAUGCUGUCAGCAAAUGAGCAGACAUAUAUGAGCAAGUGGGAGCAAAUCUACCGUAAACACAACCAAGCGCACCGUUUUUUCUUUCAAUGAACUGGAGGGACCGAAGUCCCUACAGGAAAUAUAUUAAAGCAAAAAGAAGUUCAGAACGAAUACACAAAAACAGAAACAGGAUAAAAAGACCCGGACCAGCAGCAGCACAGGGAGUUCAGGAGAGUAGGAGACAAAGAAAGAAAUAAAGAAAAUAAGCCUACUCUUGCAAACUAUUGUAGACUCUAAAUCCAUGAAUCAAACUGGAAUUGGAGACCAGGCUUGAUCCUGUAUUGAAGAAGGGAGGUCUCUAUGAGAAAAACCCUCCGGCAACCUGCUAGGCUCGGCUGAAUUCCUUUGAAGAUGAGAUCAUUCCUCAUCAUCCAUAGUGCCCAGCACAUAAGAAUAAUCGUCUCCAAACCAAGCAAGCACACCGUUGGCACUACUUUUCCGGGAUCCAAAUUUACAAACAGAUCACACGAAAUCUAAAAUUCAGCCACUAUAGGCCCAUACAGAUAUGUGAGUUGCUAUAUUUUAGGUGCUUCAAGUUUUAGACAAAACAACCAAUCAGUACAAUUAAAAAGACAACUUACGAUAGAUAGUAAUUCAUAAUUUUUUCUACUAGUCCAACAAAGAUAAGAUCAUGCUGUCUGAACAACUAAAAAGACCAGGCAGCUGAAAUACAGGCUAAGGCCUUGUUUGGAUGUUGUCGGAUUCACUUCAAUCCAUAUGUGUUGGUGUGGAUUGGGGUGAAAUUUAGUUCAAGUUCCACUCCAAUCCACCUCAACCCAUGUAGAUUGAUGUGAAUCCGACUACAUCAAAACAAGGCCUAAACUGUAUUAUUAAUAAGUGACUCAUGAGUGCAGCCAAUGAAAGCCUAGCACAAAGUUAAAAGAGACCAACUGACCAACAAAGCGAUGAUUGUAACAGGUCUUGAAUCCAAGUGGAUGCAGUGCGUACGAGAAUCCGUCGUCUUCGAUCGUGGAUGCUUCCACAGGCUAGACUAGAAAUUUAGUGUGACGUUAACAACUUAACAUGCGAAUAAUACAAACAAUACGAUGCCACUGGAGUCUGGAGAUAUUCCAAGAGCUCGAGUGUGACUGCAAGAAAAGGGGCCAGUGAGUCAUGUGCCCCUUGGCUUCCUCACACCACCACCAUAUAUGAGAAGGACAAGAGCGCCUAUCAAACUUUGCAAAGGGAGGAUUAAAGACUGAAGAGUGCACAUCACUAGAUGGAGAGGAAGACAGAUGGAAAGGUCUGGGGAUUCUUCUACCUGACAGCAAUGUGAUCAUUAUUCUGAUUUCUAACAAUAUGCAACAAAGCGUGUUAGCCUUUGGUUGGUUUUACUCCACUACCAUUAUUUACCACUUCAAGAGAGGGACAUAUGAUGAAAAUUCUACUUCAGAUCUGGUGCCAGUCCCAGUCUGAAACUCUGUGGAGGGGACGAGCUGCAGGUCUAGGAUACUCUCGUUAUCCUUUCUCUACAUGACUACAGCAGAAAAUUUAGUGAGAAUCCUACUUACAAUUUCUCAAACCGUGCAAGAUCUACCAAGCUACGAAGUAGUAAUAAUGGUAUAUACGGUCGAACAAAACACAAACCCAUACCAAGAAUGAAACAAAACAAAAACAAAUAACUCUGCACCCAACUAGGAUCAGGAUAAAACAUGCUGGAAACAAAAGGGUAGCUAUUCUCUGUAGCAAUCUGAUCCUUUCUGACCCUGUUUCCUGUUUAAGUUCAACUCAGUCAGAGUGGUAGCUUUCAGGCAAGCCAAACUGUCUGGUUUUGUUGAAAAAGUGCACCUGAAUGAAUUAUCCGAGAAGCAUAAAACAACAUGAGUUUUCUGUAGUCAGGAUAACCCAAUAUGGCCCCUUUUCCUAGAAAUGUUGAUUUGAGUCAGAAUCACUAUAAUAGCACCUCAACACGGUAUCACUCCAUAUUGUGCUUCCUAUUUCUAGCACAUAAUAUUUGUAUCUGCAAAUACCAGAUUUGGAAGAAAAAAGUUUGAAAGGAAUUUAUUUUUUCCAUAAAGUUCAUCAGGAAUUGAUGUUUUCCAUAUGGGCCUAGCAGAUUUCAUUACAGGACAGCAAAAGAAUGGGCACCCGUUCACUUUCAAAAUGUAGUCCUAUGCAAAAAACUAACGACCAGGAGCAGAACUCAUGUAUUUAAACUACCUUUUUCUAAUAUAAUGAUACACGCACUCGUGCGUAUUGAAAAAAAAAUGGGCACCCAUGUUUAAGACAGCUCAGCAUGAAAGACACCAAAACACAAAUAAGCAUCAAUUAAAACGAAACAUCCAAGCUCAGACCAGCCCAGCUACUACAUAGAACUAAUUGCCAAGAAUGAAUUAUUGUGCUGAGGUCCAAAGGCAUCUGCGACACGUAAACAGAAAACAAAAAGUUAUAUACCCAAAAUAUCUAUCAACAUACAGAUGCUGUGUUCACAGUUCCAUACUCGAGUCAUUCUUGCUUGUGCAAGCAAUCACAAACAGUAGACUUGAAAAAACAGAAAAUAGGCACCAUGGGUAUCUUCAGGUUUUCAAGAAGCGGUCAUGAUAAAAGCUCAUCAGAAAAUAUAUACUCAUUAUCCCUUCUCUACCACAGAAAAUUCUGUGAGAAUCCCAAUAGGUUCAUAGGAUUUUCAAAGGAUUCUUUCUAAAAAAAAAGUAAAAAGGAACACAGAUCACUAGCAAAGUAGCAAUCCUUCCAAUAAUCCCCCAAUACCACCCCUCAUCCCCAUAAAACUAUCAUAUUGAGAGAGAUAUACUCCCUCCAUUUAUGAUUUAGAGGUUGUUUAUGAUAUGAUUGUGCAUACCAAGAAGUGAUUAAUUAGUAUAGAGUUUUUUCCUAUUUACCCUUAUUAAAUAGGACUGUGGGACACCAAAGGGAUUCGGCUCGAUUGGUUGUUGCAGCGUCUCCCGAGGCGGCUGAGACUGAAGCUCUCAAGCUCGAGUCGACGACCUCUAAGGGUCCCUUUGGUUGGACUUUUGAACCUGCUUUUGCUUUUGUAAAAGCCAAAAGUCAACCAAAGGGCCCAAAAGCCACAAGUGCUUUUCCCCAAAAGCAGCUUUUCUCGUAGUACAAAUCCAAAAGCACCUCACCCCCCUGCUUUCACUGACUUUUGGGAUCCGUUCAGUUUUUUUUCCAAAAGCCACGAGUGACCAACCAAAUGACUUUUGGGUUUCUCAAAGCCCACAUCCCACAGCAGUUUUUCAAAAGCUCAAAGCUCACAGUAGCUUUUCCAAAAGUCACAGCCCAACCAAAUACACCCUAAAUCCUAUAUGGAGGGAGUACUACUUUUUCUUCUCCAACAGUCUCUCAAUAUCUCUUCCUUUUUUGUGGCCACUAAUAUUUCUCUCAUCUUUCCUCAAAGAAAAGAGAAGAUACAACUCCCCCAAUACCAUGGGGACAAUACCAACUAUCAUUUUUCGGUCAUAUUUUCUCUUACACUUUUAUGGGACCCACCUUUCAUAUGAGUAGACUAUCUCCAAUAGGUGACCCACCCAUAUGGGCACCCAAACCCAAAAUGGGUAGCAAGAGACCCAAAAUCAUCCUCCAAUAGAGUACAUAUAUAGGAGACCCAUUUUGGGUUGCCUGAGAGGCACUAGUGCACAACCCAAAUAUUGAUAUCCUCACUCCUAGAAACUCAUUUGCAGAAAGGAUUCUAUUUUGGGUCUUGUUGUUGGAGAAUAUAUCGAAUGAGUAUUGAACCUUUUACCUGUAGUACUACUCAAACGUUGAAUGAGUCUUGUAUUUUGGGUAUUGUUGUUGGAGAUAAAGAUAUAUUAGGGUACUGCUGCAGCAUCUCCCCCUAUAAAUUAAGAAAUUGAUAUUAGGCUACUCCAAUAUUAUCCUAUUGAGAGUUGUACCGGGAACUGUCGAAGAUGCUCUUGCCCUGUUUUUACUCCUGUCCAUAAAGUCAAGAAUGGAAUCUUUUGGGCAAUUCAAGCUGCUUGAUUUUAUUCAAAAACUGCACCAAAUCAAAUUAUCUGAAGAUCCAAUAACUCGGCCUUGUUUAGUUCCUCACACAAAAACUUUUCACUUAUCCCGUCGAAUCUUUCAACACAUGCAUGAAGCAUUAAAUGUAAAUGACAAAUAAAAACAUUGUUGGCUGAUAAAAAAAAAGUAUAGUUUAUAAGACAAGCGAACGAAGUACAAUUGCACAGUUUGGUUGUAAAUCGUGAGACGAACUUUUUAAGCCUAAUUAGUCCAUGAUUAGUCAUAAUUGCUACAAUAACCAACAUAUGCUAAUGGUGAAUUAAUUAAGUUUAAUAAAUUUGUCUCACAAUUUUCAGACGAGUUAUGUAAUUUCUUUUUUGAUUAGUCUACGUUUAAUGCUUCAAAUGUGCGCCGAUAUAUCCGACGUAACACCCAAAAGUUGUCUGCCGACUUGUGUGUCUAGUGCGAAAUUAUAAGAGAGGAUUUGUGUUGCCCUUUCAAACAGUUCAGACCACCUUGUCCGAGGGUUCAGAAGUUUGUGUUGGAGAAGUGUAGGAAAUGUAAUCUUGCUUGGGUUGGCUUAAACAAGGUUGCUCCUCUACAGCCUGAUGAGAUGGAGUUUCUACUCGGCUUUCCAAAGGAUCACACCAGAGGUGUCAGCAGGACAGAGAGGUCAUGCCAGAUUUGGCUUGGCUGAAAAAGUCAGAGAACAAAGUCCUGUUCGCUAAUUUAUUGUGAGAGAAACACUGUUGAAUGACUGAUAGAUUCGGAUGAUAACUGGCUGUCACGCCACAUAUCAAAUGAUAUCAUCUCUCGUUUCUUUGAAUUCAAAAGGCAGUCUCCCUAAAACAGAAACCUACAAAAUAUAGGUCGGGCUGCUUUGGCCUUCCUCUAACAAUAUUUCUCCUUGUUGAACACUUCUAAUAGCUAACCAGAUUAGUUCUACAUUCUUGUUCUUCGCAUUGCAGACCUGGACCUGCAGUAGGGGGUGGAAAUCACCAUGUAAGUCCCCAUGUAAACUCUUAUUGACUCGGUUGGCGGUUGACAUGUGUUAUUUGUGCCAGAAAGAGAGGAAAAAAAACAUCAUGGUUACAUGAAUAAGACUGAACAGAACAAUCAUAUAAUGAACAAUCAGUGAUUUCUAGGACUAGGACAUUCGCUGUGCUAACACCAGUGCCACAAGGAUCAUCAUCACCAGCCAUCUUACUACCUUAAUUUUAGUUCUUUGGCUACCGUACAUGUUGUUUAGAAGUUUGAGGGUUUGUGACCCCCAUGGGCCAUAGCUCCAAUUAUUCCCAUGCUUUCCCUAACAAUAAUGUCCAGCCAGAUUAAAAUUUUCAUGUAUGCAACAUUGUCCACAAAGUCUAGCUUUUUGGUCCAAGAUAAAAGACAAUGUAAUCGUUACUGCCACUGGUCUCCCACCAUCCUCAGUCCAUGAAAAUUAUACCAGACAACUAGCUAGAAUUAGUGUGAGAUUAUAUCAAUUGGUUCUGAAUAGGCAAUGUGGCAGUGAAUCCUGCCUGCCAUGGCUUCAAAACAGGGCAAUAAGCCAGCCAGAGAUUUGCUUCCAGGGACCUCACUAGAUUGUCUAGGCAUGAUAUUAUAAUAAUAAGCAUGCCCAUCUCAAAGAGUAAAAUGAAAUGAUGUGUCCUCAUCGACACAUAUUAUUGAAAACAAAACAAGCACAUUACGAAGGAAAAAGGCAUCUUUGGCUUGUUUCUUCAGUCUUGUGCAGUAGGCGAGUUGUGUUUUCCAGUCUAAAAAUUGAUGUUCAAUCUGUACACUCGUUAACACAUUAUGGUGUGUGUGGGGUGGGGGGAUCACAUCUCCAAGACUAGUUAUUCCAUCUACUACCUAGAAGGAUCCACAAGACAAGGUUAAGCACAUUUAGAUUUAGCACAGAAAAAGAGGAACAAAAUACCAUACCCCCACUAUGGCUUGGGAUGAGCAUCAGUAUCCGAGGAAGCGGCAGCAGUGGUGGUGGGCUUGUUGCUGCGGAGGUCGUCUAUGAUGCCACCAAGCUCACGCCGCGCGGACUCCCUUCCAAACAUGAAGCCAUACCUGCAACACAAGAGGCAUGUCGCGGGAGAUCUAGAAUGCUCCGAACGAACAAGAAUCAUCAGGAUGGGAGAUUGCGGGGGUACCAGAAGGAGACGGCGGAGAAGACUCCCGCAGCUGCCACCGUCUCAAGCAGGGUCAGCUUCUUCGCCUGCAUCGCCCGCUGAGAAUUGGGAAAGAUGGGAGUCGGGUCAGCCGCUAGCUGCGCGGUCCACAAAUUCAGUAAGGAGGUUGCAUAGAAGACCCGAGAUAGAAAGGCCGAGCGAGCUCACCUCCGUUUUGCUGUGCCACCGCGAGGUGUAGUUGGGGAAGACGAGGCGACCGAAGGCGGCGAUGGUUGGGGAAGGAGAGGGACGGAGGAUUGGAGGAAGGCUGCCACCUACCGGUGCCGGCACGAGACGACCUUCGCCGGCAAGGUAGCAGCAGAUCGGGGAGGUGCCGGCGGCGGCCGACGAAGGCUUGCGGACUUGCAGUUCUAGCCGAGCCCACGGCCCAUGGGAUGGAGAGCGACUAGGAUGAAUGGUUGGGCUGAGCCUUUGGGCUUUUUAUUUACUGGCAUUUUCGUAGAUGGGGAGUUUAAGUAGUAUCUACUAUCAAGUUCCACUCCGCAAAAUAUCUAUGGAUUGAUUUUUGAAGACUCACGUCCACUGGACAAAACACAGAAGAGUAUUUUUUUUUCUGUUCUAAAUUUAAAGUCAUUGACUUGUCUAGUUACAUAGUUUUUUUCUUAAAUUUAUGUAAUGUCUACAUAUAUAGUAAAAAUUAUAUAUCUAUGAAAUCAAAAUUAGAUUUAUAACUGAAUGAAGAGAGUACAUGAUAUGACACUAACACUCCAUAACCAUUUUUCCGUUCCACUCGAGAUGAGAGAGUCCCUAAUGAGUUCUCCUAAAUCAAAAAAAUUUAAGUUUGAUUAAUUUUAUAUGAAAGAUACUAACAUCUAUCAUAGCAAAAUAAUAUAUAUGAAAACGUAAUUACUAUUGUAUCUAACUAUAAUAAUUUUGUGUUACACAUAUUAGCAUUGUUUAUAAGUUUUAAAAAUUGAUUAAAGAUAAGUCCAGAAGUUGGUUUCAAAAAAUUGGCUAAGGAGUAACAGUUAGCACACACCAGACUCAUACCACUCCUCAUGCACGUCUGCAACACACGUUGGGUAUGAGAAUUCUUGCUGAAUUUUCAUUUGCGUAUUGAAAUCACAAAUUCACAAUCGAUCUUCACAUGUAGUAUAGCCUGUUCAGAGAAUUGUUCUUUUCUCCUGCUGUAUAUACCUCCUAUACACACAAACUUCGGAAUUUGGAAGACAGCCGGAGGAGGGCCAGAACGGGACGCCGGAGUGUAUUCCGGCAACACUCCCGCCGCCACUGUCACCUCUUCGUCGGCAGUCUGCCGUCGCCUCCUUUCUUUUUGUCAGCGGCCAGCGGCGGUGGCGGCUCCAUCUGCAGCACCCGUUCGAGCUCCUCGACGACGUCCCUCAUCGACGGCCGCUCCUUGGGGUUCUUGCCAAGGCAGCGGUCAGCGAGUCUGGCCACCUCGCGCGCGGCAGCCAGCGGGUACCGGCCGCCCAGCCGCGGGUCCAUGAUGGCCCGGAACCCAGCACUGUCCGGCGGGUGCUGCCGCACCCACCCCAGCAGCUUCUGCUCCUCCGCGGGGCGGCUGCGCUCCAGCGACCGCCGCCCCGUCAGGAUCUCGUACAGCACCACGCCGAAGCUCCACACGUCGCUCUUUGCCGUCAAGUGCCCUGUCUCGAUGUAGUCUGGCGCCGCGUACCCGUGCGUUCCCACCACCUGAGCCAUCACAGCCAGUCAGUUCAGAGCUUCAGAUGCGAGCACACAAUGCAAGAAGAAAAAUCAUGAGCACGCACCGCGGUGGAGACGUGUGUUUUCCCUUCGGUUGGACCCUCCCUUGCCAGGCCAAAAUCCGACAGUUUUGGCUUGAAUUCGGCGUCUAGAAGGAUGUUGGACGCUUUGAAAUCCCUGUAGAUCACCUGCCACACCAAAAGACUGGAUCAGAUCUUGACCACUUAUUACACAAUCUCGGUAUUCUUCAAAAUUUUUGAAGACAAAUUCAGCUAAAAAGUUGUGUGCAUGGUUAACGUGGUUUGGUUCAGAGUUCAAAGUUUCAGAGAGAGCGACCUGAACUUCAGGCACUCCUUCAUGGAGGUAAUCCAGACCCCGUGCAGCACCGAUCAUGAUCUGCAGCCUCUGUCUCCAUGAAAGGGGAGGAUGUGCUCGGUUGAACAGGUGGUCAUCCAAACUCUUGUUGGGCAUGAACUCGUAGACCAGCAGCCUGUGCUUGCUUGCUUCUGAAUCCACUGCGCAAUAGCCGAUCAGCUUUACGAGAUUCGGGUGCUCAAGAACACCAAGGAAUUGGACUUCAGCAAGCCAUUGCUUGUGCCCCUGAAAUCAGAUUAUUUAAAAGAAACUCAUUAAGUGUUAUAUUCCUUAAAAAUAAAUAAGUACAGUAUAUCUAGUGAACUGCUAUUUAUUCAUUUAAAAUAAAUAAGCACACUUAUUAAGGAACACAGGUCAAUACUUGAGAUUUGCAUGAAACUGCUUUCAUAUAUUUAUACUUGUGUUUGUGUAUAGUAUAAUUGAAACGUUCAGGAAAUUCUCUUUGUGUCCUUGUAUCUAAUUAUUGGUGUGAUCAGACGUUCAGGAAAUUCUCUUUGUGUCCUUGUAUCUAAUUAUUGGUGUGAUCAGACUUGCAGCAAUGUUUAUAUCGUGACGCUGAUCAUAGGUUGACUUAUGAUGCCAUCUUGACUAAUAUUCACAUGGUCCAAUCUACGAUUCCCAUUGAUAAUGACAUGUGUGGAUGUCCUUGUCCAGUUGGUUGGACCGAUAUUCUCUUUGAAGCUAUCCAAGCAAAUAUUUAUGUGUUUAAGAUUGUCAUCAAGCUCAAGUUAUCUAAUGGCUUCACUGCAAACCAACAACCUUCUGAGUUUGAUUUUAGGUUUAGAUCCAUAUCAGGGGACAAAGGCAGUUUGUGGCUUUGUGCACCCACCAGCAAUAAUGAUUUAGUAAAAUCGCGUAAUGUUCAUACACCAGAUAUGACAAAUCCACGGAGUUUGGCCACUGUGGACAAGAGGUCCUGAGAAAUUUCAGCCAAUAUAAUAAUAUUAUACAUCUCUUGUAGAGUGAAAAAUCUGAUAAACCUACCACUACCAAUUCUCUUUUAAAUGCUAAGUUGCAAAUUACUCUGUAAAUUUGUAGGGCUCCACGAAUUCGCAGCUUUGCUAAGUGUGGUUAAGAAGUCCGAUUAAUCCGCACCAGAAAAAUUCGCGCUUUCUGAUGAACAACCUUUGACAUGGCAUGAGAAAUUUUAAGCAGCCCAAAUAAUGCAGAGCAGAC
rnacentral:lncRNA from 1 species